rnacentral:lncRNA from 1 species
AAGAAACUCCCACUUAACAUUUUUCAGCAAAAGAAAGUUAACUAGUUGGCCUACAGUGUCUUCACCAAUACUACUUCAUCGAAAACUGUUUUAGAUAACAAGAGAAAGCAAGAAAUGGGUCAUUUCUCAGCCAUUUUCAGUUGCUUUGUUCCAUCGGCUUCUUCAAGGGUUAUAGAUGAAGCCCAUAAGAAGGCAGAGAUUCCUAAAAGCAAAUCAAAAUCGUAAUUUCAAGUCAACUAAACUGAAAAAAAAGAGUCACCAAGAUGGCACAAUUCAUUUCCCGAUGGAAAUAUUUGAAUCAUAAUUUUGAUUGAAGAGGAUUAUUACAAAGAUAGAGUUUCAAGUCAACCGAGCUAAAGUUCUAAGAAGAUUAGGUUUGAAGAAAAAUUUAUGUGUGUUUACAAACUUACUACGCAAAGCCCUUGAUGAGUCUUUGCUCCGUAAAUAUUAUAAAGAGGGGGCAUCUGUUGUAACCCAAUUUUGACCCCUUAUUUUUCUAAAUAUUUUCAACAUACAAAAAAUAAAAAAAAUAUGUUCUUGAUGUGUUUGCAUUAUUUUUAGUGACUUCUCAAAAGAAUUCAAAUUUCAAAUUUCAUUUCAAUGCUUUUAGCUUUUAAAGCGUCAUUUUCAAAAUUAUUGAUUUUUCUCGUUGAGUCGGCUUUGAUUUUGCCUUUAAAAAAAAUCAAAAUACAAAAAAAUAAGAAAAAUAAAAAAUAUUUGGAAAAAGGUAAUAAAAUGGAAAGGAAGAAAACAAGGGACUAAAGUGAAUUUAGGUUGCUUGUUGGACUAAUCAAUUGGGAAAGAAGAUGACAUUUUUUACCUAUAAAAAGGUGUUUAUCUCACACAAGAGAGGGGGGAGAGGAAAAAAAAAAGAAUAACAUAAAAUUUUCACACUCUCUCCCACAAAAAAAAAAUCCCUAACAUAUUUUCUUUAUACCUACCCUCUAGCCACCACACAAAAAAGGGACCCACAUCGUCCUCUCUACCGUAACUCCUCUCCAUCAACACCUAAGCUUUCUUCUAAUGAUGAUCCCUCCUCCACAAACCAUCAUAGUUGUCAACACACUUACACCAGUUAAACCAUCAGUCUUUCUACAUCAACAACACAUAAUAGCUCAUUUCAAUCACCACGACUCGUGAGCACGAUUAUACACAACCACAACCACACCAACUCCCCACGAUACACGAAGACCACCAUGACACUACUAUGUAGUAGUAGGACUGGUAGCAACCAGCUACUACCAUCCAUCAUCAACCCUGGCUCUCCAUCAUAACCCUUUUGCCAUCGCAAAUGCCUGUAGCUUUAAAGGCCAACUAGUAGCCACGGACACCAAUGACAGCAGAAGCUUCUUCGGUGGUCAUUGUUGAGAACCACCUUAAUAAUGGCAGUCUCUAAACUUUGAACCCAUUCCAUAGUACACCCUAGUUCACACCAAUAAUCCCUCUCCUACUCAACUUGUCGCUGGCUGAAUGAAUUAGUCUCUUAAACGCCUAAAUUGCAAUUUCCCUCUCCCAAUCACUACUAAAAAGAAAGGAAACUAGUCAAUAUCUCUCCAUUAGUUUCAAUUGCACAAGGCAACGUUCAAUCCCUCUCUCGGCCUCCACUGCCAACUCAGAUCUUUCAUAAUUGGCCAUAACCUUCACCCUUUUUAUCCCUUAUUAGUCACGGUGGCAGCCUCAUUACAGAGGAGAAUGCGAAGAAAUAAGGGGAAACUGAAAGCCAUUAAAGAGGAAGAUAGAAAAAAUUGAAGCUUUGAAAGGCUAGAUCUCUAUUCUUAAGCAGUGGUGGGCGUCACCGCCAGUCUAGAGGUGAAGAGGAGACAAAGGAGCAUCGAAUCCACCAGCUCACGCUCCUCCAGUAGUGGCGCGUGAAUCCACAUGUCGACAAUGUUGGUGGCUCAUGGUACAUGUGCUGCCACUAUGCCAGAGGUCUUUCAAUGUCUAUUUUAGUAUAUCCUAGACAUUUCAAACGCUUUGGAUGAUCGAUCUAUAAACUCAAACCUUUUUUGGAUAAAUUGCUAUAACACUGUGAAUGUUUUGGAACCAAAUGCUUAUUAUUUUGUAUAAUAUUUAGACUGUUUGGACACUAUUAGUUUGGUUUGAUGUCUAUUAUUUUAUUAUUUUGAAAUGAUGUGUUUAUUUGUGUUGAAUUUUGAAAUUAUGUUUUGGACAUUACGUUGGUGCAUGAGUUAUAUUUGGAGUUAUUUUGAUUCAUUUGAAUUAACAUGAAAUUUGAUUGAAGUAGGUGAAAUUAAUAAAAUCUAUGUAGAUGUUUGACAUUGUUUGGUUUUGAGUUGAUGAACAAUAAUUUGUUUUGAAUUGAUAUAUUGGUUAAAAUAGCCUUGAUAAAAACAUUUUAUUUGCGUUUUACCAGAUACGUCCUUCGUCAAUUUUUUAAUAAUUUUUUAAUUUUUGAAAAAAUCAUUUUGAAAUUAAUUUUGAAUUCCCCACUCUUUUUUUCUACCCUCACGUGUUUAAUAUUUAGAAUUGUGACCUAUACACAAGAUAUGUUUUCGGUAUUAAACGAAUCAUUUUUCCUCCACAAAAAAAAAUAUAACAUAAAAUCUUUUUUUAAAAAAAUACGAAGGAUUUGAGCAUCUUUUUUAAAGAAAAUUUAAAAUAGUUUUGCAUGUUUUGUUUUUAAAAAUAUUGCUUGGAUUUUAGAACAAAUUUGUAAAAUUCCAAAUGAUUUUGGUCUACAUUUCAAAAAUACUAAAACAUUUUUUUUAAUAUAUGAGAUUAUGAACUUAUACGUUAGGUUUUAAACCUGAUAAGAUAAGAACCUCCUUACCGAUGAGGACUUUUCUUCAACCUUAAACAAACAAAUAGUUAGAAAACACAAUAUUUUCUUAGUUUAUAUCAGAUAAAUAAAUAAUACAACUUACCUCAGGUAAGGCGUAUUAGGAGUGCUAAUACCUUCACUUUAUGCAAUCAGUCCCCUUACCCAAACUCUAAGACCAGUUAGGGUCAUAGUAACCAAAAUAUUAGGUGACGACUCUGAUUCCCUUUUUUCUAUUGAUAAAGAACAAGAAUUCCUUAUCCUUUCCACUUGCAUCAUUCCCAACUAUUCUGAUCCGGAAAGAUGAUCGUCGUGGCGUCGUAUAUGUGUGAUACUGAUCAUAUGAGUACUUUUAGAUUUUUUUUUAUGUGCGAGACAUUUAUCCUUUCUAUGAUGACCAGUCUUUGUAUCUAGAGCUUGGAAAUGAAUUAAGAUCAAAAUUUUCAAAAGUAAAAGAGGUUGACGUGGAACAUGAAAUAAAGUAAGAAGCCUAAACAUAUCUAAUUAAUAAGAACAUGAAAUAAAGUCUACCAAAAAAGCCUAAACAUGUCUAAUUAAUAAGCCUAACAAAAACAACAACAAUGGAUGAUCCAAUCAUUGGAUCAGACUAAAAUAUUUUUAGGAGAUUCUACGAAUAUUUUUUAAUGUGAAAUGAUUUGUCAUUAUUGGACUGUUGGAUUUCUAAAAAUUAGACCCAUAAAUUGUUAUGUUGCCUAUUUUAGAUAUUUUUCAAAAUAUUUUUGAAUUUUAAUUAGUUUUUUUCUACUUAGAUCUCGACUCUUAAUUAGGUUGACUUUAGGACUUCUAUAUAAAUAGUUAACGUGCUUUUUUUUAAUUAUUAUUCAGUUUAUUAAAACAUUUUUAUAAAAUAUCAAAUAUUUUUUAUAUUGCUUUAGAGUAUAAUGAUUAUAACUUUAGAGCUUGAAAACUGUAAGUUUAUCUUCAUUAUACACUCUAUCAACUCACUAUGGUGUACAAGGGCGAGAUUUAAAGCUGGACAUGGGAUUCACUCAGAACGACCUUUUAUCAGACCAAGACCAAGUUAGGUUUGCCCAAACAUGGGGACAAAUUAGGGAAGGUUAGUGUCACACGUGUGUGGCGUCGCGACAAUCAUUCUCCUGGAUCGGGAAUAGGAUGGGGAAAUGGAUAGGAUAAAUAAUUCUUAUCAUUUAUUAGUGGAAAGAGGGAAUGAGAGUCGCUACCUAAUAUUUUGGUUACUAAGAACUCUAACUGGUUUCAGAGAUUGGGCACAUGGACUGGUUGCGUAAAAGGAAGGUACUAGCACCCCUAAUGUGCUUUACCUAAGAUAAGCUGCAUUGUUUAAUUGUCUGAUAUAAACUAAGGUAUUGUUGUGUUUUCUAAUUAUUGGUCUGUAUAAGGUUUAAGAAAAGUUUUUCUCAAUAAAGAGAUCUUUAUUUUAUUAGGUAAAAAGCUAACCGUUCUAAUGUCAAUAUAAAAAAUAAAAGAACUAUCUUUUUAUUUAAUAUCGGGAAUACAUCUUACGUAUAAGUUUGUAAUCCUAGAUACUAAAAGAAAAGAAAAUAAUUUUUUUGGUAUUUUUGGAAUAUGGGCCUAGUUCUCAUAACUUUAAUAAUCUGGUUAUUAAAGCCCAAAAUGCAUGCUAAUACAUACUCUUUUUUGAAAAAAAAUUGUAUGAAAAUAUGAUAUGAUUUUUUAUAUAUAUUUUUGAGAGACUUGGCCAUAUGCAUGAAAAUAAGAUAUUUUUUUGUUGUUUUUUAUAUUUUUAUUUUGCAAUAUUUCAGAGAAAAUCGAGUAUUUUAAUACCGGAUUUGUAUCUUACAUUGUAAAAAUACAAAUCAAUAUUAAGCAAAAUUGGUAGAAAAAUCUACGAGAAAAUCACAAUUUUUUUUUUGAAAGGAUUGAAACAAAAAUUUAGAUUUUUUUGUUUUUGUUUUUAUUUAAUAUAUAAUAUUAUAUUAUAUAUUAUUAUAAUUAUAUAAUAAAAUAUAUUGGGAUGGGUCCGACCCAAUUAUAUGGGCUGAGCCCACCUUGGUUGGGCCGAGGUCAGCCCAACAAGUUUUGCUUUAAGGGGACUGGGUCGACAUUCGUCCGGCCUAGAAACAAUGGGCUCUCCAUUGUACACAUGCUACGUGAAUAGUGGUGAUGGGGGGUGAAGAAGAAGAAGAAGAAGAAGAGGGGGAAGCUGACCUGAUUGUGGCUCACGACGACGUUCGUCCCUGCUGGAGUUGGAGCUGCUAGUUCUUCUUCAAAACGAGGUGGUUGUGCAUUGAGGGAAGCUGUUUUCAAUGGUGGCUUGUAGUCGCGGCUGUUGGGGGAAAGGCAACCUUAUUCUCUUUUUUUCUUUUUGUUUUUUCUUUCUUUAUUUUUCAUUUUUUUGUUUCUCUUUCGUCUGUGUUUCUUUGUCCCUAGUGUGUUUUUUUCUCGUUCUUGUCUCUGUUUUUGUCCCUCGUGUCGCACGUGAGCGACGUCGCGGCGAUCGUCCACCCACAAAAAUAAAUGUAAUGGGGGGGGAUAAAUCUGGUCAAUGUGGGGAGACAAGGAAUUCGUUGUCUCUUAGCAGUAAAAAAAUGGUGUGGGAGUCGCCACCUAGUAUUUUGGUCACUAGGAACCCUAACUGGUCUCAGAGAUCGGGCACGGGGACUAGUUGCGUAAAGGGAAGGUAUUAGCACCCCAAAUACGCCCUACCUAAGGUAAGCUGCAUUGUUUAUUUGUCUGAUAAAAUUCAAGGUUUCGUUGUGUUUCCUAGUUGUUGGUCCGUCUAUGGUUCAAGAAAAGUCCUCCUCAAUAAGGAGGUCCUUAUCUUAUCGGGUAAAACCUAACCGUUCUAAUGUCUAUGUAAAAAAACAUAUUUUUAAUAUCAGGAAUACGUUUUAUGUAUAAAUUAGUAAUCCCAAAGACAAAAAGAUUUUUUUUAGAAUUUUUGAAAUAUUGGCCUAGUUCUCAUGGCUUGAAUAAACUGGUUAUUAAAGCCAAAAUGCAUGCUAAUACAUAUAUUGUUUUGAAAUUUCUUUUGUUGUGUGAAAAUAUGAUGUUAUAAUAUUUAUAUAUAUAUAUUGGAGAGACUAGGCCGUAUUUUAAAACAAAACAUUUUUUAAAUAUGUAUUUUUUGUACGUUUUGACGCAAAUCGGGUAUUUUAAUACUGGGUUUGUAUCCUUGCGGUAUAAAAAUACAACCAAAUAUUAAUCCACUUUGAUAAAACAAAUGCAGAAAAAUCAACAACAUUUUUAGAGAAUUUUUGAAGGCAAAAGACAUUUUUUUAUUUUGAAAAUCUUUAAUGUUUUGAUGAAAACCGGGUAUUUUAAUACCGAAUUUUGUAUCUUUACAGUAUAAAAUACCAACCGAUAUUAAUCACAAUACAGUAAUAAAAUUACAACAAAAUCACAUAUAUUUUUUUUUAUAAUUUUUGCAUAAUUUUUAUAAUUUUUUCAUAUAUAUAUAUAUAAAUAAUACAAAAUAUAAUAUAUAUAAUAUAAUAUAUAAUAUUAAAUGGGCUGGGCUGGUCCGGCCCAACCGACUGGGCCGGACUCAGCCCCAAAAGUGUUGGGCCGAUUUCGGCCCAAAAUGGAUUGGGCCGAUCUCGGCCCAAAAAAUAAUAUUCUCUUCUGGGCCAGACCCGGCCCAGAAUACAGGGCUGGGCCGGACUCGGCCCAGAAGGCAGGACUGGGCCAGGAUCCGCCUGGCCCAGACCAAAACGGGCGGGGGGAAUUAAUUUCCCCCCACCCCUGCAUGCAGAACGCUAUUCGUUCUGCAUGCAGAGAAGGAAAAAAAAAUAAAAACCAGAAUAGGGGGGAAGAAGAGUUACCUGGCGCGGAGGUGGUGGUGGCGCUGGUGUUGCUGCUGCUGCUGGAGGCGGUGCUGGUGCUGGUGCUGCUGGAGGCGGAGGCGGUUGACUCUCGGACGGCGGCAGUGGCGCUGCUGUUAGCAGCCGAGAGGGAGUUCCUUACUCCUCCCUUGUCCUUCGUUUCCUUUCCCUUUCGUUUUCUCCCCUUUCUUCUUCUUCUUUGGUUUUCUUUCCCCCCCUUUUCCUUUCUUUCGGUUCACUCUUCUUCCUCUCCCCUUUCUCUCUCUUUCGGUUUUUUCGUUCUCCUCCCCUCUCCUCUGUUUUUUCCCGUUUCUUUCUCCCCGUCGCUUUUUCUCCUCCCCAGCGUUCUUGGGGUUCUAUUUAUAGAGCCCAGGGCGUGGCUUUGCUGUGGAGCAUGGGGAGCAACCGGCCGGUCGGCCAUUGGGCACGACUACCAAGGUUCGGCCCCCCUCCCCGGUUUUCUGGCAAGUGCGCGGUGGGUGGUCGGCCAUUGUGUCCGGUCGGUGGGCUCCAGGCGAGAGAGUGGCCGGCAAAAAUUCAAAAAAAAGCUUCCCUUUUUCCUUCUUCCCCGCUGCAUGUUCGGGGGGAAGAAGAAAGAUGAACAGUGUCGUUCAAAACGACACCGUUCUGCUCUUUCUUUUUUUUUUCUUUUUUUUAAUGUAUGAAACGGCGUCGUUUUGGAGAAAACGCGCCGUUUCAUUUAAAUGUGGCGCCAAAACGCGCCAAAUUUCAAAUCAGCCCUCAAUCAUCUUUUUUUCUUCAAUUACAUCCCUGCCAAUUUCGGUCUUCGCCCCUCUUGUUGGCCGCGUUUUUCACUUUAGUCCUUGGCCUCUGAUUUAUGCAAUUGAGCCCUUAAUUGAUCAAAAAACUUCUAAUUUCUUCAAUUAGGCCCCUGAAUCAAUUAAUUCCAGCCCCUCCAUUUACGCGCCUCUUCCAAUUUGGUCCCUGGUUUCGAAUUUUCUCAAUUAAGUCCCCAAUUGGCCCUUAAACUUCAAUAUUUAUGCAAUUAGGCCCCUGAUUUGACCUAAUAAAUUCCUAAAAAAUAUAUUUUGGCCCCAGAACUUAAAUUUCUUCUAAUUAAAGCCCAAAUUGACUUAAAAAUCAAUUUUUCUUACAAUCAAAUCUCCUAUAAAUUCAUUUAAAAAUCCAAUUAAGUCCAUAAACAUCCAAAUUUGGGCUUUUCUCCUCAAAUUUCAAAUUUUCCUUCUCAACAGGGCUCUCCUCCUUCAAGAAUAUACUGUCAAAAAACCAAUCUUUGUAUUUUUAACCUCAUUGACCAAUUUUCCAACCACUUUCUGAGCGCUUCUACCUCCUGUUAUUUUUCUAACCUCCUUUGGCUAUAUAUUUUUAUAUAUAUUUUGUGGGGACCCAAAAAUGGGUUACAACAGAUGCCCCCUCUUUAUAAUGCUUACGGAGCAGAGGUUUUGCGCAGUAAGUUUUAUAAAGAUAACCCAAAAUGGAACUCCCGAAACUGAUCUGGUUGAAGCUUGAUUGAUCUGAAACUUGUCUUUUACAGCAAUCCUCCUCAACUGGGAAUCCCAUCUGGCGAUUCCCUUUUAACCAACAUGAAAUAUGAGGUCCCAUCUGGCGACCUCCUUUAACCAAUAUCGAAAUACGAGAUCCUUUCCGGUGAUCUCCUUUAACAAAAAAAAUCUUAGAAUCCCAUCUGGCGAUUCCUUGUAAUCAAAUGUUGAAAUAUGAGGUCCCUUCUGGCGACCUCCAAAUAGCGAAAUACGAGAUCCCUUCUGGCGACCUCCAAAUAGCGAAAUACGAGAUCCCUUCUGGCGAUCUCCUUCAACUUGGAAUCCCAUCUGGCGAUUCCUUUUAUUCAACAGGUAAUACGAGGUCCCAUCUGGCGACCUCCAAAUAGUGAAACACGAGAUCCCUUCUGGCGAUCUCCUUUAGUCAACUUGGAAUCCCAUUUGGCGAUUCCUUUUAUUCAAUGAAAAACGAGGUCCCAUCUGGCGACCUCCAAAUAACGAAACACGAGAUCCCUUCUGGCGAUCUCCUUUAACCAACUUGGAAUCUCAUCUGGCGAUUCCUUUUAUUCAAUGAAAAACGAGGUCCCAUCUGGCGACCUCCAAAUAACGAAACACGAGAUCCCUUCUGGCGAUCUCCUUUAAUCAACUUGGAAUCCCAUCUGGCGAUUCCUUUUUUUUUUUUCAACAGGUAAUACGAGGUCCCAUCUGGCGACCUCCAAAUAGCGAAACACGAGAUCCCUUCUGGCGAUCUCCUUUAGUCAACUUGGAAUCCCAUCUGGCGAUUCCUUUUAUUCAAUAAAAAACGAGGUCCCAUCUGGCGACCUCCAAAUAACGAAACACGAGAUCCCUUCUGGCGAUCUCCUUUAAUCAACUUGGAAUCCCAUCUGGCGAUUCCUUUUUUUUUUAAUAGGUAAUACGAGGUCCCAUCUGGCGACCUCCAAAUAGCGAAACACGAGAUCCCUUCUGGCGAUCUCCUUUAAUCAACUUGGAAUCCCAUCUGGCGAUUCCUUUUAUUCAAUGAAAAACGAGGUCCCAUCCGGCGACCUCCAAAUAACGAAACACGAGAUCCCUUCUGGCGAUCUCCUUUAAUCAACUUGGAAUCCCAUCUGGCGACUCCUUUUUUUUUUCAACAGGUAAUACGAGGUCCCAUCUGGCGACCUCCAAAUAGCGAAACACAAGAUCCCUUCUGGCGAUCUCCUUUAGUCAACUUGGAAUCCCAUCUGGCGAUUCCUUUUAACAAACAUGAAAUAUGAGGUCCCAUCUGGCGACCUUCAAAUAGUGAAGUAUGCGAUCUCCAUCAACUUGGAAUCCCAUCUGGCGAUUCCUUUUAUUCAAAGCGAUAUGCGAGGUCCCUUCUGGCGACCUUCUUCGACCAAUAUCGAAAUACAAGAUCCCCUCUGGCGAUCUAAGACAACUUGGAAUCCCAUCUGGCGAUUCCCUUUUAUUCGAAGCUGAAAUAAUGAGAUCCCUUCUGGCGAUCUCCUUUAAUCAAAAACCAAAAAAUCUAUCUUGUAAAUCGGUUAACCUGGAGUCCCCUCUAGCAAUUCCCUUUUACUGAUUGCUCGAUGUCGUUCUUCUUGAUGGCAAGGUUUGAAAAUUAUUAUCUUCUCUUCUCGUUGUUCUAGAAUCAACUCAAUGAUUCUUUCUUCAUCUCCAAUUUUGUUGGAAUGUAUUAAGGUCUCCUCCUGUAAUGAUCCAAAAAACAUAUAUGCAAUGAUUUAUGAUUAGAUGCCAUGCAUGCAUUCGUACCUGGUUUUGAAACAUAGGCCCCAUCAUCUUCUUCGAGUUCAUGAGAUUCCCUCUUAACAUGAGCUUGCUUUUGAAGUCGUAUGCUAGAUUCAUCUCUCGUGUUGCCUCCUAUCAUAUUCUUGGAGAAGAAAUCUCUGACUUUCUUCAAAUAGUCCUUUUUCCAAAAUGUAUGACUUGUCAUUGCCUCUUUGUCAUGCUUUUGUCAAAUGUUUUAGCUUGGUUUUCAAAUCUAUAGGCUUCCGUACAUGAAAACAUCUCUUAUUGCCCCCAGUGUAGGGGUGUGAUUCUAGUCUAGGCUUUUAUAGAGAGAAGAAAUUCGUUCAGCCGAUGCUAAACACAAGACAUGCACUUUUGGGAUUAAUGCAAAAAUGAUUGUUGUGAGAUCAAUGCAAAAGAGAAAGAAGUCAAUGGCCAAACUUUGCUUUAUUGAUUUAGGAGCCUACAUCAAGCAUAAUAUCUUUUUACAGAGUCAGAAUUCACAGGUCGAGCUAGGUCUUCUCCAUCCAUUCUAGCCAACUUCAGCGCUCCUCCUGAGAAUGCCUUCUUUACUACGUAAGGACCUUCGUAAUUCGGUGCCCAUUUGCUUUGAUCGUCUCCAGGUAGUGCCAAUAUUUUCUUCAAUACUAGAUCCCCUUCUUGAAACAACCGCGGUCUAACCUUCUUAUCAUAUACCUUGGCCAUUCGUUUCUGGUAAAGUUGGUGAUGACAUAUUGCGGCCAUCCUCUUUUCACUGAUCAGGUUCAGUUGCUCAUAUCUCACUUUGGCCCACUCGGCCUCUUCUAAUUCAGAGUCCAUCAAUACUCUUAAUGACGGGAUUUCUAUUUCCAAAGGCAUCACUGCUUCCAUACCGUACACCAGAGAAUAUGGAGUGGUUCCUGUCGAGGUCCUAACUGUAGUGCGGUAUGCAUGUAGAGCGAAUGACAACAUCUCAUGCCAAUCUUUAUACGUGACUACCAUUUUCUGAAUAAUCUUUUUGAUGUUCUUGUUGGCAGCUUCUACUGCGCCAUUCAUUUUUGGCCGGUAUGGCGAGGAGUUCGAAUGCUUAAUCUUCCACUUGGUACACAACUCCACUAUCAUUUUGCCAUUGAAAUUCUGUGCAUUAUCGGUCACUAUCUUUUCCGGAGGACCAUAUCGACAAAUCAAAUCCUUUUCUAUAAACCUCUUCACUACCUUCUGUGUUACAUGGGCAUACGAAUUAGCUUCCACCCAUUUGAUGAAGUAGUCAAUAGCCACGAGGAUGAAUCUAUGACCAUUGCUAGCUUUUGGGUUAACAGGCCCGAUCACGUCAAUUCCCCACAUUGCAAAUGGCCAAGGGGAUAUUAGAUUAAAUAGAGGAGCUGGGGGCAUAUUGACCUUGUCACUGUAAACUUGACAUUUAUGACAUUUCCUGACAUAGUCGAUGCAGUCUUUCUCUAAAGUCAUCCAAAAAUAACCAGCCCUUUGUAUUUUCCUUGCUAUCAUAUGCCCGCUAGCAUGUGUUGAGCAAAUCCCCUCAUGGACCUCCCGUAAUGCCUUUCUAGCAUCUGCCUCAUUCAAACACCUUAGCAAGGUUCCAUCAAAUGAUCUUUUAUACAAAAUCUCUCCAUCUAAAUAGAAGUCUAUAGCCAACCUUCUCAAGGUUUUCUUAUCCGUUUUGGAAGCUCCCACCGGAUAUUCGUGAUUUUGCACAAGGUUCUUGAUAUCGUAAUACCAAGGAUGUCCGUCUAUCUCUCCUUCAACUAAGCAACAAUGAGCUGGGUCAUUUCUAAUGUCAAUGUGUACCGGUUGUACCUUGCACUUGAGAUCAAUGGUAGUCAUAGCAGCUAGUGUGGCCAAAGCAUCUGCAAAAUGGUUCCCCUCCCUUCCCAGAUGGGUGAAUCUAAUUUCUUCAAAUUCCUUUGCUAGCGUGGACAGGUAUUCCUGGUACGGCCUCAACUUUUCCUCCUUGGUUUGCCAUUCCCCUUUAACCUGACAGAUAAUCAACAUUGAAUCUCCAUAUACAUCUAACUUCUUUAUCUUCAACUCUAAUGCCGCUUCUAAACCGAGGAUACAAGCUUCAUACUCAGCUGUGUUGUUGGUGCACUCGAAAUGUAGUUUAACCGAAACUGGAUACUGUUUCUUAUCAGGAGAGAUUAUUACCGCACCAGCCCCGUUACCAUAUACAUUCACUGCACCGUCAAAAAACAUCGUCCACCAAUCUGUCUUCUCUUCUUCUUUCUCUAUUGACAAUAUAUCUUCAUCAGGGAAGUCAAAAUCCAAAGGUUCGUAAUCUUCAACAGCAUUAUCGGCCAGAUGGUCCGCGAUUGCACUUCCUUUUACGGCUUUCCUUGUCAUGUAUACUAUGUCAUAUUCUGCUAAUAGAACUUGCCACCUUGCAUUUCGACUUGAGAGAAAUGGCUUGUUACAAAUGUACCUCAGAGGAUCCACUUUUGAAAUCAACCAAGUGGUAUAGUAUAACAUAUAAUGCCGCAACCUCUUUGCUGCCCACACCAACGCACAACAAAGCCUUUCUAUCUCCGUGUAUCUAGACUCACAUUCAGUGAAUUUCUUACUUAAGUAAUAAAUAGCUCUUUCCUUCCUUCCUUCCGGUUUCAUCAUGUUGACCCAAUACACAUCCCAUGGCUGCUUCAGUCACUGUUAGGUACAAUACUAGAGGUUUUCCUGAUACCGGAGGAACCAGUAAAGGUGGAUUUUGCAAAUAAUGCUUGAUUUUAUUGAAUGCCUCCUCACACUCCUCAUUCCAGGUUCCAGGAUUCUUUUUCCUUAGUAGUCGGAAUAUUGGUUCACACGUCGUUGUUAACUGAGCUAUGAACCGAGCAAUGUAGUUUAUCCUUCCCAAGAAUCCUCUUACUUCUUUCUCCGUCUUAGGGGAUGACAUAGCUUGGAUGGCCCUUACUUUAUCUGGAUCCACCUCUAUACCUCUAUCACUUACCACAAAUCCUAACAGCUUACCCGAUUUAACUCCAAAUGAACAUUUUGCAGGAUUGAGCCUUAAUUCAUACUUCCUCAAUCUCUCAAACAACUUCCUCAAAACUUCAACAUGAUCCUCUCCCCUUUUAGACUUGGCAAUCAUGUCGUCUACAUACACCUCAAUUUCCUUGUGCAUCAUGUCGUGGAACAAAGUCACCAUUGCUCUUUGAUAGGUUGCUCCUGCAUUUUUCAAUCCAAAUGGCAUGACCUUAUAGCAGAAUGUCCCCCAAGGUGUGACAAAAGUUGUUUUCGUCUUAUCCUCCGGAGCCAUUUUUAUCUGGUUGUAUCCUGAAAACCAUCCAUAAAGGAAUAUGUGGAACUCCGGGCCGCGUUGUCCACCAAAACAUCUAUGUGUGGUAGCGGAAAAUCAUCCUUGGGACUAGCCUUAUUCAAAUUCCAAAAAUCCACGCAUACUCUAAUCUUCCCCUCCUUCUUAGGCACCACAACAAUGUUAGAUACCCAUUGUGGAUAUCUAACUACUUCUAGAAAACCAGCAUCCCAUUGCUUCUCGAGUUCUGCCUUGACCUUGAUCCAGACAUCCGGGUGGGCCCUCCUCAGCUUCUGCUUGACUGGCUUACAGCCUUCUUCCAACGGUAUCUUGUGUACUACGAUAUUUGUGUCCAAACCGGGCAUAUCUUCAUAAGACCAAGCAAAGACAUCUGCAUAUUCUUGUAACAGGGCGAUCAUUUUUGUCCUUAGUUCCGAAGUAAUUAGUGUACCUAUUUUCAACUCCUUCUUGAACUGAUCACUGCCUACAUUGAUGGUUUCGAGUUCCUCUGCGGCAGGUUUCCAAGUCUGUUCAUGUUGUUCUACUAGCCUGGUGAAUUCACUGAUACUGCUUUCAUCCCACUCUUCUUCUUCCAUAGUUAUCACAUGUUCGUUCAAGUUUGGCCAUGUAUGUGAUGUUGUAGGAGAUCCGCUUUCAGGAUUCCUGAAAGCGGGAAUUGUUUGGUGUAAAUGCAUAAAAGAAGAUGGCAAUUUGUGAAAAGUGCAUGAUCUCACAAUUUAUUUAAAGAAAAGGUAGGCUCCAUGACAAACACGAAAUCUAGCCGACAAUUGAGCCUUGAUCGUCGACUAGUGAAAAUAAAAAACCAACCAAAGCAAUGACAAAAGCAUGUUAAGACAAACAAAAUUGGUUUACAUUUUGAAAACCACUGGAGCUUCUUGGGUCACCCAGUUCUGAAACUUCUCGUCCUGAGCCAACUUGCGCACAAAGGUCUUGGCGGAGACUUCUUCUAUGGUGUAGACCGUCAGUUGUGGCAGUGUUUCGUCUCCCUUUCUUGCUACUGUCUUCAUGUCAUCUCCUUCCACCUUGUUUUCCCCCAAGGUAUUUAUGCUCAUGUUUGACAGCUCUUGGUCAAGGCUUUCGGCUUCUUUAUCAUGUUGCAUUAUGUAUGCAGCUUUUGGGAAUGACACGCCAAGGGGAGGGAUUUCUAGCUUUUCUUCCUCUAGCUCUCUUCCUUUAAUUCUAGCCAUCCUUCUUGCCCUUCUCCGACCAGCAGCCCACCGAUAAUCCUCUUGGUUAGGUUGGUAUCCUAACCCAAAUCUUUGAGCAGCACUUUUCAUCCUUGCCAGAUUAACCCCUUCUGGUAUCCUGAUAAUAAGGUUAUAUUGAAAUGGGAUCCCGCGGUUCAAGAAGCAUAGACUUGCCAUCCUUGCUGCUUCCGAGAUCCUUGGCCUUCUUAGCACUGUGUUCUCCGGCACCCAGUCGGUGUUCACAAUCUCAAAGGCAUGGAUAUUGUUACCCUUGCAAUCACCCGCUUCGAUAAAAGGCACAGCUACAUUCUUUGUCAUGGAUACUGUCUCCUCGGCCUUGACAGUUACCAACAUCCCAUUCAUGAUAUACUUCAGGCAUUGGUGCAAUGAUGAAGCUACUGCCCCCGCUGCAUGAAUCCAAGGUCUUCCUAACAACAUACUAUAGGAAGGGUGGAUAUCCAUAACCUGAAGUGUUACUAGGAACAUUUGUGGUCCCACGUAUAGCUCCACUUCUAAAGUCCCAAUUAUUGGCCUAGGCGAUCCAUCAUACGCUCUGGCCAUCAUAGUACUUGGCUUAAUAUGGGAUUCAUCGAUCGGCAUUUCUUCCAGCAUGUGCUUUGGCAACACGUUAAGGGCUGAGCCAUUAUCAAUGAGUACUUUUCCUAUGAGGCAAUCCUUGCACCUAACCGUAAUGUAUAAGGGCUUGUUAUGUCCGGUACCUUCAGCAUCCAGCUCAUCAGCCGUGAAGUACAGGUAAUUAGUUGCAUGGAUCCUUCCCACUAAAUGCUCCAUGGUUUUAUGUUCAAUGUCUUGGGGUACAUAUGCCUCAUUCAAUACCUUUUGCAAGGUGUUUCGAUGCGGCUCAGAGCUGAGUAUUAAGGACAUAAGGGAGAUCCUAGCUGGAGUCUUCUUUAGUUGGUCUACUAUGCAAUAUUCGCUAUGCUUGAUCAACUUUAAGAAUUCAUUCGACUCCUCUUCCGUUACCGGCUUAUUAACUUCUAGUGCUUUGUCCAGAUCUACCACUUCUUUGCCCUUUGACUUCCUCAACUCCUCGGGCGUAAAGCAACGACCACUCCUGGUCAAACCACUUAUCUCAGACUGGAACAAAGGAAGAGGAGCUCGAACGUUAGUGGCAUAACCAUAAUUAUAAGGCAUGGCAUUGUGAUUCCCUUUUGUGUAGGACGGUUUAACCAAGAUUAGCCUUGGGGGCCCAUUAGCUGUUUGUUGGAUCCUACAUACUCCUAUCAUUUCAUCUUGACCUUCCAUCAUACUCACCUCACCGCUGCUCUUCAUGGGUUCAAUCCUCAACUCCCCUAUUUUUAGCAUUUUUGCAAUCUUUUCGCAAAACUCGAUGCAAUCCUCAAUAUGAUGUCCAUCUCUUCCAUGGUAUUCAUAGUAAUCAUAUCCCUCUAAAUGGCUCUCCACCUUUGUCUUUAGAAAUCCUGAUUGUACCAACAUGUCGUACAACCUCUUCAUGGACACCUUCAACACCUUGCAUUGAUUUACCACUUCGAUCAUGCCUAUUCCACUACUAUUUGGGGCAUGCUUAGGCAAUGGGUUUGAAUUAACAUUGGGCUUGUCCUCAAAGGAUACCCAUCCUAUCUUAAUAAGCUCCAGCAAUCUUUUCUUGAAAGCGUAACAGGUUUCAAUCCCAUGCCCGGGAUUACCCGCAUGGUACUCACAAGUUAACUCGGGCUUGUACCAAAUUGGGAAUGGUGGUUGUAAUGGUAGUGUAGGGAUAGGAGCUAUGUGCCCAAUGCUCAACAGUUUGGCGUACAUGUCCUUCAAAGGUAUGGGUAGCGGCGGCAGUUGUUCUGAAGGGUAUCUUGUAUGGGGUCUCUGGUAGUGAUUUUGGUAGUUUGAUUUGUUAUUUGUUCGAUUAGGGGAAAAAGAUUGGUUAAAGUUUAUGCGUGAGAAUUGAGAGGUAGGUACUUGUGGAUUGUGGGAAUCUACUUUCUUGCCCUUAUACCCGUCUUCCAGAUUGUUAACAUCGCCUUCUCUCUUUCUUCCAAUAAAACCCUUCUUUUCCACUGGCAUUGCUAUUCGCCCAGCUUUAAUCCCCUGUUCUAUCCUCUCAGCUAUGCGUACCGCAUCAUAGAAAUGUUGAGAGGAGCUACCCAUUAGGUGCUCAUAAUAAGGUGCUUUGAAGGUAUUGGCAAACAAGCUCACCAUCUCCGUUUCUAUCAAAGGGGGUUGGACAUGCAUUGCCUCAUCCCUCCAUCUUUGCGCAUAAGCCCUUACUGACUCCUGGCUCCUUUUCUCCAUUGCCAUUAGACUUGUUCGAUCAGGAGCGAUUUCCAUGUUAAACUUGUACUGUUUAAGGAAAGCCUCCACCAAGUCUCUCCAGCUCUUGAUCCUAAUGCUGUCUAACCUCAUGUACCAGCUUAAAGCGGAUCCUGCUAGGCUAUCUUGAAAGAAAUAGAUUAGCAAUUUAUCAUCACGGAUUACUUCCACCAUUUUGUUGCAGUAAGAUCGAAGGUGAGUGUUUGGGCAUUCCAAACCGGUAUACUUAAUGAACUCUGGUAUUCGAAAAUCUUUUGGUACCACGAUGUUUGGUACCAAACAUACUUCGGCUGCUCGCAUAGGGUCAAACCAGUCAUUACCCUCAACUGCCCUUAAUCUUUCUUCCAGAGCAAAUAGCUUGUCUUGGUCUAUCAAACUGGGAGACCUAUUAUCCGGGACUCCCUCCGUUGUUAAGUCAACAGUGACUGGAGUAUGAGGUGGUAGGAUAGGAGUAAUAGGCACAAACUGUUGUUCAUUGGCCGAGUUUGCCCCCUGGUUUUGAGAUGCUUGAGGAAUGUGAACUGCUGGCGCUCCUUCAAGCUGUCGUGCUGAUGUUCCCUCCCCAUUCUUAGCCCUUAGAAGCUGCUCAAGUAAGUCGGUUAGCCGAGAAACUUCAUUCUUUACAGACUCCAACUCGGUCUGAUAAUAUGACUCUAAGUGAGCUCUUUCUUCGUUCUCCAUUCUCGCUCGAGACCGGGUGUUGUGGAUUUUGGAUGUGGGACCUAUGUUUCACGGUCUGAGAUGCAUGGAAAAAUGUAAAUGAAUGUAUGAUAAAGAAAAUAAUGCAUGAAUGCUCUUAGAAGCUUGUUUUUUUUAAAAAACGAUCGAUGGCCAACAUUCCUCUUGUGUAAUGGGCAUGGACUCUUUUUGUCACGUUCCUUAUCAGGAGUAGUUGUGCUCAAGCUGCUGCUUUGGUAGGCCUAUGUUUUUACAAAAGAUGGGUCAAAGCCCCUUUUCAUUAAUAUUGGCUAAUACAUCUCUUGAAAAGAGGGUACAAAAUAAUAAAAAGAGAAAUACAUCAAUCUUCCUCUUCAUCCAUAUCUCUAGCCACUGGUAGGAACGCGAGGCCUCGAUUCUAAAUUUUCUUUAAGAAGGCAUCUGUCUCAGCCAAGCUUUGUCGAUAACGAAAGAUGUCCCUUCCCACCCUUCGAGCAUUGGCUCUAAUAAUUCGUGCGUGAAUGGCAGCUUCAUCCAUUUGCUCAUCUACCUUGGCCAUCUUCUCUAUAAGCAACAUGUUAUUCCGAUUCAAGGUAUUGUUGUUGGUGUCGAUCUGUUCUUUAUGUUUUUCUGAAACUUCCAACCUGUUGGUCAAUUGUUUCACCUUUUCUCGUUCUUUGUCAAACUUCACCUUCAACAUUCUAAUUUCAAUUUUCUUAGCUGCCAAAUCUGCCUUCAAAACCUCCUCUUCAUUCCCCUUUCUUUCGAACUCUUGUAAUUCAGCUAGCCGACUUUCUAUCAUCAUAUAUUUCUUGUUUAACUCAUCAUACUUCUCAAUUCGGUCUAACAACUCUGCUCUAACAUGCAAGAAUUUGUCCUGAUUGUACUCAACAUUCUCUUGAUAGCCAUCGAAGUCGGCUUUCAAUGCUUCCAACUCGGAACUGCUUUGCAUACAAUCAAAAAUCAAUCUUCCUCUUUCUUUCUCGGACUCUUCUAUUACAGCCUUUCCUUUGCUCAAUUGCAGCUCUAACAUCACUAUUUUCGCAUCUCUAGAUUCGAGCUGUUCGUUUAGAAACACUCUGCUUUUAUCCCCUUCCAUCAUCAUCUUUUCUAAUGCUGCUUUAUCUCCCUUACUUUUUCCUAAUUCUAUUUGGAGCCUUUCUAAUUGCUUCAUAAGGUCUUCCUCAUUACUGACCUUUUUUUCUUUUCAAUGACCCUUCUUCAAUUCGUGAAGGCCCAUCUUCAGAACAUGGCUUUUUCGGAGCGGCUAUCGGGGUCAAAUUCCUCCACUUUUCAUAUCCUUCGCUUGAAAUAGGGUCUCUCAAUCUUUCCGACUCCUUUUGAAUUAGAGUCAACUGGCUCCAAUCUUGUUUGAUGGUUUCAAGAACUUCUCGCGCGGAUUGAUCCUUGAAAAAUCCGGAAAAUUCAGCAAGUCCCACAGUUCUUGGGAUGUGUUGUAUGCCACCUAAUUGUCUUAUCACCAGAGCCGGAGCAUAGCUGACAUAACCUGUGAUCCCAAUUAAAGGUACCCAGCUUUUUUGUCCACAACUUACUAUGACAUCAACUGAUUUAACCCAAGGGGCCUUCCAACUAAAGUUGCUACUAGGUAACUCUUGCAGUUUUUUCAUCCAACCUUGAUCACCUAGGAUUCCCCAUUCUUCUUCCUCCACCAUCUUCAAGGGUUUUUGGUUAAACCACCAAAAAUCUGGACCAUAGAUCCCCAGAGCGAUUAACCUGUCUCUUUCUAGCACUGAGACGUAUUGCUCCUUUUUCCUUUCUAAUUCAGCUUCCAAAAACUUCCACUUUAAACCGCUGCCAUUCUUUUCUAAAAAUCUGCUCAGAUGUGGAAUCUUCAAUAAUUUUGACAACUCAGGAAUCACCUUGUCAUUUCUCAAAGGAAAAUAAACCUGGUGCAGGUGUUUGGGAAACUCCAUCAACAUUCCAUAUUCCUCUAUAGUGGGACACAAAUCCACAUUUCCAAAGGAAAAGCAUCUGUAAUCGGGAUCCCAAAAGUUAAUCAAGGCUUUAAUUGCUGGGUUCAAUACUCCUAUCUUUGCAAUUUCCAAUAAUCGCCCAUACUUCCCAAAAAAUGCCGCCUCAUCAAUAUUCUGACUAUGGCCCAAUAUUCUCUUCAUCUCAUAUACUACGCAAUUCAGGUCUUUGACUACUGGAAGCUUCCUUGCAUCAUAUCUAGAGCAAUCUCCCUCUGAUAGUUGUGACAAUUCAGAAUUCUGCCCAUAUUCCACAGUAGUAAAUUUGGUAAUGAUGGCCAUCUUAUCGUUUCAAAAUGACCUGAAAACCAAAUACUUUAUGGUUUAGGUUGUGUUAUGCAAAAAUGUAUUUUGUGGGGCAUACACCCUAUAGCCGGUUCUAAAUCUUUUGUGUUUGACGAGGGUAGGUUGGCUAUUCAGUCUCUAAAAAGGGUCUCUUGUUGUCCCAGUGAUUGCCCUCGUGGAGGCAAUAUGGGGGCUUGUAGGCAAUGAGAUGGUCACAUGUACCAACUAUUACCAGUCUAAGCACUCAGCGAAGAGUAGGGGUUUACACAAACUUAAACCUUGACUAACAGUCGUAAGGUAAGCUGCUAGUCCCCCACUUAACUUAAAGUUUGUGUGUGCUCUCAAUAAUCAAAGUAUGUGAUGCAUGUGACAGUUCUAUAAGAUGUAUGAGACAGUUCUAUACAAAUGCAUGAACAAUAUAUGUAAAAAUAUUUAAAGCGUAUAAGCAGGUAACAAAAGGAAAGGCAUAUUAACAAUAAACACACGAAAACAAAACAAAUCAGACAAAAACAAAGCUUAGUCCACAAGGUCCCCAGUGGAGUCACCAUUCUGUCGCACGUGAGCGACGUCGCGGCGAUCGUCCACCCACAAAAAUAAAUGUAAUGGGGGGGGAUAAAUCUGGUCAAUGUGGGGAGACAAGGAAUUCGUUGUCUCUUAGCAGUAAAAAAAUGGUGUGGGAGUCGCCACCUAGUAUUUUGGUCACUAGGAACCCUAACUGGUCUCAGAGAUCGGGCACGGGGACUAGUUGCGUAAAGGGAAGGUAUUAGCACCCCAAAUACGCCCUACCUAAGGUAAGCUGCAUUGUUUAUUUGUCUGAUAAAAUUCAAGGUUUCGUUGUGUUUCCUAGUUGUUGGUCCGUCUAUGGUUCAAGAAAAGUCCUCCUCAAUAAGGAGGUCCUUAUCUUAUCGGGUAAAACCUAACCGUUCUAAUGUCUAUGUAAAAAAACAUAUUUUUAAUAUCAGGAAUACGUUUUAUGUAUAAAUUAGUAAUCCCAAAGACAAAAAGAUUUUUUUUAGAAUUUUUGAAAUAUUGGCCUAGUUCUCAUGGCUUGAAUAAACUGGUUAUUAAAGCCAAAAUGCAUGCUAAUACAUAUAUUGUUUUGAAAUUUCUUUUGUUGUGUGAAAAUAUGAUGUUAUAAUAUUUAUAUAUAUAUAUUGGAGAGACUAGGCCGUAUUUUAAAACAAAACAUUUUUUAAAUAUGUAUUUUUUGUACGUUUUGACGCAAAUCGGGUAUUUUAAUACUGGGUUUGUAUCCUUGCGGUAUAAAAAUACAACCAAAUAUUAAUCCACUUUGAUAAAACAAAUGCAGAAAAAUCAACAACAUUUUUAGAGAAUUUUUGAAGGCAAAAGACAUUUUUUUAUUUUGAAAAUCUUUAAUGUUUUGAUGAAAACCGGGUAUUUUAAUACCGAAUUUUGUAUCUUUACAGUAUAAAAUACCAACCGAUAUUAAUCACAAUACAGUAAUAAAAUUACAACAAAAUCACAUAUAUUUUUUUUUAUAAUUUUUGCAUAAUUUUUAUAAUUUUUUCAUAUAUAUAUAUAUAUAAAUAAUACAAAAUAUAAUAUAUAUAAUAUAAUAUAUAAUAUUAAAUGGGCUGGGCUGGUCCGGCCCAACCGACUGGGCCGGACUCAGCCCCAAAAGUGUUGGGCCGAUUUCGGCCCAAAAUGGAUUGGGCCGAUCUCGGCCCAAAAAAUAAUAUUCUCUUCUGGGCCAGACCCGGCCCAGAAUACAGGGCUGGGCCGGACUCGGCCCAGAAGGCAGGACUGGGCCAGGAUCCGCCUGGCCCAGACCAAAACGGGCGGGGGGAAUUAAUUUCCCCCCACCCCUGCAUGCAGAACGCUAUUCGUUCUGCAUGCAGAGAAGGAAAAACAAAUAAAAACCAGAAUAGGGGGGAAGAAGAGUUACCUGGCGCGGAGGUGGUGGUGGCGCUGGUGUUGCUGCUGCUGCUGGAGGCGGUGCUGGCGCUGGUGCUGCUGGAGGCGGAGGCGGUUGACUCUCGGACGGCGGCAGUGGCGCUGCUGUUAGCAGCCGAGAGGGAGUUCCUUACUCCUCCCAUGUCCUUCGUUUCCUUUCCCUUUCGUUUUCUCCCCUUUCUUCUUCUUCUUUGGUUUUCUUUCCCCCCCUUUUCCUUUCUUUCGGUUCACUCUUCUUCCUCUCCCCUUUCUCUCUCUUUCGGUUUUUUCGUUCUCCUCCCCUCUCCUCUGUUUUUUCCCGUUUCUUUCUCCCCGUCGCUUUUUCUCCUCCCCAGCGUUCUUGGGGUUCUAUUUAUAGAGCCCAGGGCGUGGCUUUGCUGUGGAGCAUGGGGAGCAACCGGCCGGUCGGCCAUUGGGCACGACUGCCAAGGUUCGGCCCCCCUCCCCGGUUUUCUGGCAAGUGCGCGGUGGGUGGUCGGCCAUUGUGUCCGGUCGGUGGGCUCCAGGCGAGAGAGUGGCCGGCAAAAAUUCAAAAAAAAGCUUCCCUUUUUCCUUCUUCCCCGCUGCAUGUUCGGGGGGAAGAAGAAAGAUGAACAGUGUCGUUCAAAACGACACCGUUCUGCUCUUUCUUUUUUUUUUCUUUUUUUUUAAUGUAUGAAACGGCGUCGUUUUGGAGAAAACGCGCCGUUUCAUUUAAAUGUGGCGCCAAAACGCGCCAAAUUUCAAAUCAGCCCUCAAUCAUCUUUUUUUCUUCAAUUACAUCCCUGCCAAUUUCAGUCUUCGCCCCUCUUGUUGGCCGCGUUUUUCACUUUAGUCCUUGGCCUCUGAUUUAUGCAAUUGAGCCCUUAAUUGAUCAAAAAACUUCUAAUUUCUUCAAUUAGGCCUCUGAAUCAAUUAAUUCCAACCCCUCCAUUUACGCGCCUCUUCCAAUUUGGUCCCUGGUUUCGAAUUUUCUCAAUUAAGUCCCCAAUUGGCCCUUAAACUUCAAUAUUUAUGCAAUUAGGCCCCUGAUUUGACCUAAUAAAUUCCUAAAAAAUAUAUUUUGGCCCCAGAACUUAAAUUUCUUCUAAUUAAAGCCCAAAUUGACUUAAAAAUCAAUUUUUCUUACAAUCAAAUCUCCUAUAAAUUCAUUUAAAAAUCCAAUUAAGUCCAUAAACAUCCAAAUUUGGGCUUUUCUCCUCAAAUUUCAAAUUUUCCUUCUCAACAGGGCUCUCCUCCUUUAAGAAUAUACUGUCAAAAAACCAAUCUUUGUAUUUUUAACCUCAUUGACCAAUUUUCCAACCACUUUCUGAGCGCUUCUACCUCCUGUUAUUUUUCUAACCUCCUUUGGCUAUAUAUUUUUAUAUAUAUUUUGUGGGGACCCAAAAAUGGGUUACAACACCUUGUUUCCUUCUUUCCCUCUUUGUUUUUUCAUUUUAUUUUUUUGUGUCUUUUUUUUAUCCCUUCUCUCUAUUUUUUUUUGUUUUGUUAUCCCACUCACCUCUUGGUGAGGGAGGUAUUUAUAAGGGGCAGGGGGAGAGAGAGCUACCCUACCCCUGUCCAUGCCGAAGGGGUAGGGUGGCAGGGUUGCUACUGUGCAGUUGCCUCAGGGCUGCCCGCAAGGCUUGUCCCCUUAUUUUUUUCAUCUCAAUGGUAGGCCAUAAGAGGGGUGUGGGUUAUGUUGGGGUUUUUGGGCAAGUGGGAGAGAUAGAGAGACGUAGCAAAGGAGAGGAAGAAAAACAUUCUUCCCUUGCCUGUAGCGCGUCAAAGGGAAGAAGAAGAUGAACAGUGUAAUCAAAACAACACCGUUUUUAGCUGUCUUUUUUUAGAAAAAUAAUAGUGAAUGAAACGACGUCAUUUUGUACAAAACGCGCCGUUUCAUUUAAAUGAAAAUAGCUUCUAAAGACUUUGUUUCCAAAUCAAUCCUCAAUUAAGAUUUUGAUUCUAAAAAUCAAUUAAAUUGCAUCAUUACCAAAUUUAACUGUCAUUCCUAAAGUUGGCCGCCCUUUUCAUUUAGGUCCUUGGUUUUGAAUUAAUUUUUUUGACCCCUUAUUGAUCAACAAACUUUCAAUUUCUCCAAUUUAGCCCCUGAUUCGGUCAAUUCCAGCCCCUAUAUUCACGCGCCUUUUCCAGUUUGGUCCUUGGUUUUGUAUUUCUUUGAUCAAGUUUGUAAUUGCCCAUCAAACUUUAAUAUUUAUGCAAUUAAGCCCCUGAUUUGAUCAAAUUAACUCUUACAAAUUGUAAUUUGACCCCUAAACUUCAAUUUAUUCCAAUUAAAGCCCAAAUUGACUUAAAAAUCAAUUUUCUUGCCAUUAAAUCCUUCAUAAAUUCGGUUAAACCUUCAACAAAAUGUAAUUGGGUCCUUAAACAUCCAAUUUUGAAUUUGUCUUCCUUAUAUUGAAUUUUCUUUGCCAGCAGGGCUUUUAUUAGUCAAAAAUAUAUUUUCAAAUUUCAAUCUUUAUACUUUUAAACCUCAUCAACAAAUCUCUGGGCAUGUUCUGGGCACCCCAGUGUCCUCUUCUCUUUGAAAUUGUUUUUUUUUUGUUUUCUUCCUAUAAUUUUAGAUUUCUUUUGUAUUUUUUCUUUUUUUUAUUUGGGGAUCCCUAAAAAUGGAUGCUAACAGUUAGAGUUAGCUGAGGUCAGGUCCAAACUCAACCCAUGUGUGACCUUUAAGGUCAGGAAACAUAAGGUGGACUGCCUUCUCUUGGAAAUAAAAUUGGACAAAGAAAAGUUGUCACCCUAUGGAAACCAUAAUUAAAGAAAGGUUCGGGGUUAAGGGGGACAAAGUCACCAGGUUUGGAAAAGAGUGGUUGAUAAAGUAAUCUAAAUUAACAAAAAAAAAAUAUAUGAACAUAAGAGAGAAUAAGGCUAGAGUUCUCAUUAAUCUGUUUAUUCUAAAGUACUUGUUUUAACCUAAAUACAAAGAGAUUAUAUAUAUGUUAAUCUAAAAAUAUUAUUCUACCUUUAAUAAAUGUAUUAUUUAACAUCUCUCCUCAAACUCACGAUGCGGCAGCUACAAGCAUCAAGAGUUUGCCAACUAGAAAACGAAAACGAGAAAUGAAAUGUGACUUGGUAAAGAAAUCUACAAUCUGCAAGGAAGAAGAAACAAACAACAAAGUAAUGGUGCCAUGCUUGAGACAAUGACGAGUAAGAUGACAAUCAAUCUCAAUGUACUUAGUUCGUUUAUGAAAAACCAAGUUGUGAGCAAUCUAAAUAGAACUUUGGUUGUCACAAUACAUAGGAGUGGGAUAAGAAAGUGAAACUCCCAUAUCCGCAAGUAACCAAUGUAACCAAACAAUCUUUUUGGUAGUAGAUGCCAUGAUUCGAUAUUCUGCUUCGGUUAAGGAUUGAGAAACAAUAGGUUAUUUCUUGCUCUUCCAAGAAAUAAGAGAAUCACUUAAAAAGAUACAGAAACCAGUAACAGACUUGUGAUUUGUGGGAUUACUAUCAGGUCAGCAUCAGAGUAUGAACGCAACUUCAAGGAAAAGGUGGAUGGAAGUAAAAGACUCUAAAAGACUGUACCCCAAAGAUAUCAGAAAAUACAAAGAAUAGUUGUUUAAUGAACAUUAGUAGGAGAAGCAACAAAUUGACUAACAACAUGAACAACAUAUGCAAUAUAUGGAUGAGUAAUGGUGAGAUAUACCAAGCUCCCAACAAUAGUAUGGUAUAAAGUAGGAUCUGUCAAAGGUAAACCAUUAGAAGAAAAAUACCAUGUGUUAACUUCAAUCGAAGUAUCUAAAGUCUUGUUAUCAAUAAGUCUAGCUCACUCAAGAAUAUCUGCAACAUAUUUCAACUAAGAAAGAAAGUAACCUCUGGGUGAGUAAGCUACCUCAACAGCCAGGAAGUAUCGAAGAUAACCCAAAUCCUUCAUUUCAAAUUGUCUAGCCAACUUUGUCUUCAAAACUGAGAUACCAUCAAUGUCAUCAUCAAUAAUAAUCAUGUCAUCAACAUACAAGAAUAAAAUGAUACGACUUGCAUCAGUGCCCUUAAUAAAAAAACAGAAUCAUGACUACUAGAAACAAAUCCAAGAGACGAGAUCACAACAGAAAAUUUCUCAAACCAAGCACGAGGUGCUUGUUUGAGACCAUAUAAUGUUUUCUUGAGCUUACAAACAUACCCAGAGUUAUGUAAAGCACCAGGAGGAGGCAUCAUAUAAACUUUUUUCUUGAAGAUCUCCAUUCAAGAAGGCAUUUUUAACAUCAAGUUGAGGGAUAUGCCACUGACGAACCGAAGCUACGAUAAUAAGAGUGCGAAUAGUAGUCAUUUUUGCAACAAUGGCAAAUGUCUCCUUAUAAUCCAUACCAUACUAUUGAGAGUAUCUUUUUAUAACCAACCUAGCUUUGUAUCGCUCAAGAGAUCCAUCAGAAUUAGUCUUGAUCUUAUAUACCCAAUGGCAACUAACAACACUCUUACCAGAAGGUAGAGGAACCAAAUCUCAAUUAUAUGUCUUAUAUAAAGUAGAAAGUUUCUCAUCCAUAGCUUAUUGCCAAAUAGGAUCAAGAAUUGCGUCUUUAUAGGAAGAGGGCUUAGAGAGAUAAUGAAUAGAAGCUAAAUCUGGUAACUUUGUGGACUUAUAAAUGUGUAUGGAUUGACGUAGAGGUGGAUCCACAAUCUUAGAUGAAGCUUGAGGGGUUGUAGAUGAUAAUGGAGCUUCAGGUAUGCCAUAGAGUAAAGUGUCAGUACCUGCAGAUUGAUUAGUAUAAAUUGGUCGAACAUGGGGAGGGGUAUCUGAGGUACUUAGAAUGUGAGAUGAUAAAUUAUCAGAAUUCUCAGAAAAAAAAAAUCUAUACGAAUAAGAUCAGGUCUAAUUAGAUUAUGAGUGGUGGAUGGAAUAGAAAAGAAAGGUAUAUGCUCGAGAAAGACAACAUGACGAGACAAAUAAAAUUUCUAAGUUAUUGGAUCAAAACAACGAUACCUCUUUUUACCUUCACCAUAACCCAUAAAGACACAAAUAGCAAACCAAGAGGACAACUUACUGUGUUCUACAUGAGGACAAAGAAUGAAACAAGUACAACCAAAAACUAUAAAUGAGGAAUAAUUAGGGACAUACCCAUAUAACUUUUCAAAAGAAGAUAAACCCAAAUUAUGAGAAGAUGAAAUUGUGUUAAUCAAACUUAUAGUAGUAAGGACAACUUCUCCCCAAAACUCACUAGGAACAAAAGUAGACAAUAAGAGAGAACAAACAGUUCGACAAUGUACCUAUGUUUUCUUUCAUCAUGUUCAUUUUACUCAGGAGUAUCUAUACGUGAAGUUUGGUGAAUGAUUUCAUCUAAGGCAAACAACUUACAAAAUUUACUACAGGUGUAUUCCCUACCCAAAUCACACAUAAAGCAUUUGAUUAUAGUAGAAUAUUGAGUUUUGACAAUAGCUCGAAAGGCUGUAUAUAUCUCAAAAAAGUCAGAACGAUAUUUCAUUAAAUAAACCUAGUAAUAACGAGUAUGAGCAUCAAUAAAUGAAAUAUAAUAUCGAGACCCUUCUUUAAUGGCAAUAAGAGAAGGUCCCCAUGUAUCAGAAUGAAUCAAGUCAAAUGGGGAAAAAGAAACAUAAAUACUUCAAUUCAAUGGUAAAGUGGAAAAAUUCACCAGUUUACAUCCUACUAUAAUCAGAAAUAUCAUAGGUUUGCAAAUUUCCUAAAGUUCUUGUGGAUGCCAAAAAUCUCAAACGAGAAGAUGAAACAUAACCUAGACGAGAAUGCUAUAAAUAAAAACUAGAAGAUGAAGGACUCAAACGAAAAGAAGAUAAAUAAAUAGUAGUGGUAGCAGCAGUGGUAACUGACACUUUUAACUCAUCAAAAAUAUAUAAUCCAUUCUUUCUAUGGCCUGUCGUAAUCAGCUUCUGAGACUACAGAUCCUGUACAUAACAAAAAGAAGAGGAAAAAUGACUAAAUAAUCACCCAAAUCAUAUAAUUGACCAACAAAAACAAGAUUCAAUCUGAGUUUUGGAAUAAAAUAAACAUUAGAGAGAGACAAGUGAGGUGUGACAAUAGAACCAACACCUACUAAGGGCAUGAGAUUGUCAUUAGCAGUCAUAACAAGAAUGGAGGGUGAAGGGGACAAAGAUGUAAAAGAUGAAGAAUCUAGAGACAUAUGAUGUGAAGCACUAGAAUCCAAGACCUAUUUUAAAUGUGACAUACCUGAGGAACUAUGAGGCAACUGACCUAUGAAAGGCGAAACAAACAUUGCUUUUGGCUGUUAGGAGAGAAACUUCUGAAAUUGCUCAGCUAGAGUACUAGGAUCAGUGAUAGAUCCUAUGAAGCUACUGCUGCAGUAUUGUGGUUUGGUGGUUUAUAACCCUAAGAUGAUCUAUGAGCAUUAGAUUAUGACUGACUGUCAGGCUUCCAAGCUUGAUUUUGUUGUUUCAACUUGGGACACUAAGCCUUAUAUUGACCUUUCUGCUUACAGAAACUACACUUGUCGAAGGCAAUCCUUGUAUAAGGCUUAUUUUGAUGAUUAAAGAAUGGUUUAGACGGUACUGCUGGUAUAGAGGGAUUCAAAGUAGAUAGAAUUCAUUUUUCAGAAUAAGACUAAAGACAUAUUUCUUCAGCCAAUAGCUCACUGACAACAGAGUCAAUAGAAGGCAAUGGAGAAUGAUGCACAAUUGAACCUCUAAGUCCUUCAAAAUCACUGUGAAGUGCUGUUAAAAACUGUAUCAAUCGUUGCUGCUCUCUACGAUCAAUAUAUGCGCCACAUGCCUUUAGUUCUGCUGAUUCUGUGACAACCAAUUGAUCUCAAAGAUUGUCAUAGCAGAAUAAAACUAUUUAAUACUCAUAUUCUUCUUAUAAAGAUCUCGUAUGUCAUUCUCUAAUUUAUAUUGCUUUGCAAAAUUUGAUUGCGUGAAUAACCUUUAUAGAUGAUCCUAAACCUCAUUUGUUGUCUCAUACUUUGCCAACUGCGUACCUAUGUAAUGCUCAACAGAAUUGUUGAUUCAAGUAAUAAUCUUUGCAUUGUUUGCUUCUCAUGUAUCUAUCAAAACAGCAUCCCCCUCCUUUGUAUUUUUGGGUAUCACAUAAGUUCCACUAACAUAUCCCCACAUCUUUUUACCUUUAAAAAAAUUUCUCAUUACAUAACUCCAAUACCAAUAAUUCUUUCCAUCCAACCUCACACUCACAAACUGAAGCAAAUCAUCUCUUUUAGUAGCCAUAAUCAACAAACAAAGAAAACCAUAAUGCAAAAGUAUCGAAAGACAAAGUACCAGAUUGCAGAAACUAAAUAGAUAUCGCAAAAACUAAACAAAUAUCCUCUUGAAGUUAUAGGAUUGCUCCAAGACACAAACAAAAAUUGCAGAAACUAAACACAAAUACCGAAUUGCAGAAACUGAAGGGAAGAUGAAAUACCAAAACAAUUGCAGAAACAGAACAUAAAUACCAAAUUGCAAAAGCAGAACCAAUAUCGCUCCAAAAAAAAUUAAAAGGCUCGUUCCAUAAAAUUAGCUCUAAUACCAUGUUAAAGAGUUGAGAAUAACAGAAUGACAUAGGUUGGCCUUAGCCAACCUUUCCUAUUUAUAUAUGUAGGGCAGAAUACGACAAUGACCGUAGGGAUUACAACAUUGGAAUAAUCCUACAUUAAUUUCCUAUUCAGGGAUAUGCAUGCUAUACAUUCUAUAAUAUGCCCCCUCAAGCUGAGGGUGGAGGAUCGACCCGAAGCUUGAACCUGAAAGCAGUAAAGGACGCAGCGGAAAGUGGUUUGGUGAAGACAUCAGCAAGUUGAUCCCGAGAAAGGAUAAAGCGGAUCUGAAUUUCCUUCUUCGCAACCCGGUCAUGGAUAAAAUGAUAAUCUACCUCAACAUGCUUAGUACGAGCAUGAAAGAUAGGAUUCGCAGAGAGAUAGGUCGCACCAAGAUUAUCACACCAAAUGGUAGGAGUAGAGACGGAGGGAACCUGCAGAUCUAUUAACAAAUAUUGAAGCCAGAUGACCUCAAUAGUACCAUCUGCUAAGGCUCUAUACUCAGCCUCAGUGGAGGAGCGGGCAACUGUACGUUGCUUGCUGGAUUUCCAUGAAAUCAGUGUCUGACCAAAGAAAACAAGAUAGCCACCCGUAGACUUGUGAUCAUCAAUACUACCAGCCCAAUCGACAUCUGUAAAACCAUGAAGAGCAAAAGAGGUACCUCGAGUGAUAUGAAAACCAUAGGAUGUCGUUCCUUUGAGGUAGUGGAGUAUGCGUUUAACAACAGCCCAAUGGGAAUCUGUAGGAGCAUGCAUGUACAGACAAACUCUGUUAACAGCAAAGCAGAUAUCUGGACGAGUGAAUGUAAGAUACUGAAGAGCACCCACAAUUUGAUGAAAUCGUGUGGGAUCAGAGAAUGGAUGAUCUGGCUGUAUAACAAGUUUGGAAGGAGAGACUGAAGUAUCAACGGGUUUGUAAGAAGUCAUACCAGCCCGAGUGAGGAUGUCAAGAAUAUAUUUGUGUUGGCGCAAUAUCAGACCCAUACCUGUAGACUGAACUUCAAUACCCAGAAAGUAGUGAACAUCACCUAAGUCACGAAGCUUGAAUUCGGAGCUUAGUAACUAGACUAGGCGAUGAAGCAUGGCAGAGUUGCGAAGAAUAUCAUCAACAUAGACUAGGAGAUAAAAGAUAUUGGUACCAUUAGAUAAGAUAAAUAGGGAGGUGUCAACCUUGGAGCCAAGGAAACCAAUAGAGAGUAAAAAAUCACUCAGACGAGUGUACCAUGCCCUUGGUGCCUGUUUUAAACCAUAUAAUGACUUGUGCAAUCUGCACACAUGAGAUGGAAAAGUAGGGUCAACAAAACCUAGAGGUUGUUUCAUGUAGACCUCUUCAGUAAGAACACCAUUGAGAAAGGCAUUAUGAAUAUCAAGCUGAUGAAUCUUCCAAUUACAGGAAACCGCAAUGGAAAAGACUAAUCUGACGGUGGCCUGUUUAAUAACUGUGCUGAAAGUUUCAGAAUAAUCAAAGCUUUCCUGUUGAGUAAAGCCUCUAGCAACUAGACGGGCUUUAUAACGUUUAAUGUUGCCAUCAAUACGACGUUUGAUGCGAUAUACCCAUCGGCUGCCCACAACAUUCAUCGAAGGAUGAAAGGGCACUAGGGACCAAGUGUGAUUGAAUUGCAAAGCCUUGAUCUCAUCACACAUAGCAUCAUGCCAAGCAACAUAUUUAUCUACAUCAGAAAAGGCAACAGGUUCAGAGGAAGGAGAGAGCAAUACCGGGUGGCAGCUGUAUCGGCUGUAGCAGAGGACACCAUAUUUGCGGUUUUGGGCUGCCGCGAUCUAAGGACCAUAGGGUGGCGGCUGAGCAACGGUGGUGAUGUACGAGAGGUAGGUGUCACAAAGGUGUCCUGAUGUAGUGGAUAAGCGAAGAGAUCAACCACCAGAUUCAGACCAAAGGAAGAAGCCGGGGAAGAAACUGCCGCAAGUAGAGGGCUGGCAGCAGAGACAGAGUCUGUAGAAACCGGGUGACUGGCAGAAUAAGAAGAAGCAGAGGAGGAACCAGAGGGUGUCCCAGUACUAGCAAAGACAUCGUGCUGAAGGGCAGGGAAAACUGAUCUGCAACCUGUACCUGCAACAGCAUGGUGAGAUAAAGAUGCAUAUGGUGAGCGGCAAGGGAAAGGUGGAGGCUGUGGUGUUUGGGUAGGGUGAAGGCAGGGCAGAGGCAGAGGCAGAGGCAGAGGCGAGAUGAGGGGUGGUAUGAUCGUGAACAAUAGGGAGUGGGUUAGAUUUGGGAGGAUGGUAACAGGAGAUGGUGUGUGGGUUUGAGCUGAGACCUGUGCAAUCUGUUCAGAUUUAUCAAACGAAAAAACAUGUUCAUGAAAACGGACAUGACGGGAGAUAUACAUGCGAUGAGAUUCAACGUCAAAACAUCGAUAACCAAGGUGAGAGGAACUGUAGCCAAAAAACACACAUGGAGAAGACCAAAAAUCCAAUUUAUGAUUAUUAUAGGGACGCAAAAAAAGGAAAACAAAGACAUCCAAAAGUACGCAAAAAAUGAUAAUCAAGAGACCGUUGAAACAAAUAAUCAAAUGGAGAUCGAUUAUCAAGAACAAUAGUAGGCAUGCGAUUAAUGAGAUAAACUGAAGUGUCAAAAGCGUAAUUCCAAAAAUGGAAUGGAGCUUUACAUUGGCCUAGAAGAGUAAGGCCGGUUUCCACAAUAUGCCUAUGACGUCUUUCUACUGUUCCAUUUUGUUCGUGAGUAUGAGGACAUAUCAGACGAUGAUGAAUACCAAUAGUCUGAAAGAAAGUGGAGAGUUUGCGAUAUUCACAGCCCCAAUAAGUUAGAAUAUAUUUUAUUUUUAAUGAAAAUUGACGUUCGACAAGAGUUUGAAAUUGAUGAAAAACAGAAUAAACAUCAGAUCUUGCAACAAGUGGAUAAUACCAUAUAUAUUUUGUGUGCGCAUCAAUAAAGAUAACAAAAUAAUGAUAACCAUCCGAAGAAAAAAGGAGAGCAGGACCCCACACAUCACUAAAAAUUAAUUCAAGCGGAGCAGAAGUUUUGUGACCAGUAGGUCUUAAAGACAAACACGAUGAUUUUCCUAAGGGACAACUUUGACAAUGAAAAUUAAGACGUUUGUUGUUAUAAAUGAUCUUAUUUUCCGAGACUAAAAAUUGAAAAAUGCGAGAGGUAGGAUGACCUAGGCGACGAUGCCACAAAUCAGCAGAAGCAGAGAUGCAGGGAGACCAAUAGGCUUAAGGAACUGACGGGAUGGAAGACCUGAACCUGGACAAAGUAUAGAGAACAUCUUUACUCUAUCCUAAGAGGAGUACUUCAUUGGUGUGGAGAUCCUUGACAUAAAACAAAAAGCAGGGGUUUCAUGAUUGCAGGAACAUGCAGGAUAUUAGAUAAAGUGAACGAACGAUGUGGGGUAUAUAGUUUUGUAUGGCCAAUAUGAGAUAUGGGAAGUCCCUUACCAUCACCAACAUGUAAAUUAUCAUUACCAUUGUAUGGUUCUGAAGCAGUCAAGGUUGCAAGGUCAGGUGUGACGUGUUGAUUUGCACCGGUGUCCAGAAACCAUUCAGCAGUACCUGCAGGAUUAUGCAGUGCCAGAUUAGCACUAUGCUACUGUCCAUAACCACGUUGCUGAAGUUGGGAGCACUGAGGAGUAGCAUGUCCGAAGGCUUGACAUAACUGGCAGCGGGAAUUGGAUCCCCUACUGCGCUGCCAAUUUCCCUGCCAGUUGAUGUGUCUGUUGUCAUUGCUGGGAGUGCUAUGGAAGCUAUGAAAGUCAGGCCUGGAAUUAGAAUUGCGAGACCCUCUGUGAUGGAACUGUUGAUGACGCCAGCUGCCAUGAGAACGACCCCUAUUACGUCCAAACUGAGCAGCAGGCUGACGGUCAGAGAGGAGAGCUGAAGGAGGGAUGUUUGGCGUGGGCAACAAGGGUGCAUGAAUUGCAGCAGACCCCAUAGACAAAUGAGAGGAUUUAUGAAUAAAUUCAUGAGUUAGCAGAUGACUAAGCAAAUCUGCAUAUGGUAGAGGAUCUGCCCUUGUAACAAGACUUGUCACUAAGUCUUUAAAUUCUCCGCGAAGGCCACGAAACACAUAUAGAUUGAAAUCGGCUAGCGAAAUAGGCCGGCCAGCAGCUGCUAGCUCAUCAAAUAAAGCCUUAGCUUUUUACAGAAAUUGAGUUACCGAAUCAUCACCUUGUCGAAGGUCUUGAAGAGAGCCAUGAAGUUGCAUAAUAUGGGAAUUGGAUGUAGAAGCUAGACCUUGCUCAAGUGUAUGCCAGACAGAACAUGAGGUUGGACAAUCAACAACAAGGUGAAGAACUUCCAUGGAUAGCGAAGAGAGCAGGGCAUUUAGAAUGAGUUGGUCCUGUUGUUUCCAAUGAAGAAAGUGUUGAGAUACUUGAAGAGAGACACCAUCGGCAACAAGAAUAUGUGGAGAGGGGCAGGAGUUUGAACCAUUAACAAAGCCGAAAACUCCUUGGCCUGAAAGAUACGGUUUCAUCUGCAUUCGCCAAUACAGAUAAUUGAUGUUUGUCAAUUUCAGAGAGAUGAUCUGAUGAGUGUGGGAGAGGGACACAAUUGCCAUGGUAGAAGCUGCAGCAGCUUCAGCAGAAAAGGACGGCAGCAGAGGAGCAUUAUUGGGGUUGAAGAGAGCAUGGCCAACAUCUGUAGGUUGUGGCCAUUGCAGAACUGAAGCUGAAGAAGAAGGUGGUGCUGUGGCAGGAGAGCAGGAUGGCACAACCGGUGCUGCUGUAGAGGAAGAGAUGGCUGCCAGCUGGGAAGGAUCCAUUGCAGAGAGGAGAAGAGGUGUUUUAGUUUAUUUAGGGCUCUGAUACCAAGUUGAGAAUAACAGAAUGACAUAGGUUAGCCUUAGCCAACCUUUCCUAUUUAUAUAUGUAGGCCAGAAUACGACAAUAACCAUAGGGAUUACAACAUUGGAAUAAUCCUACAUUAAUUUUCUAUUCAGAGAUAUACAUGCUAUACAUUCUAUAAUAUAAAGUAAUCCAAAUUAAUACAAAAGAAAUACGAAUAUAAGAGAGAAGGAAGUUAAAAUUCUCAUUAAUUUGUUUAUUGUAAAAUAUAUAUUUUUUAAUUUAAAUACAAAAAGAUUAUAUAUAGGUUAAACUAAAAUUACUAUUUUACCUUUAAUAAGUAAAAUAAUUUAUAUAUAUUAUUCAACCGUCCGGACGAUUAUCAUGUGACAGAGAAGGUUGAUCCACACCUAGAAAAGAAAAGAAAAGAAGCCGCCUGUGAAUGCCUUUUAGGUUAGAGUGAACAGUGGUGGCAUGUAAUAAAUAUCACCGAUUUGGACCAGUUGACACGUCGAUUGGGAGUUGCGGAAGUAAAUAAAAAGAAAGAAGUUGCCUUCUAAAGUACCAAGGAACAAGCAUGGCUUGCGUGAGGAGGCAGCUGCCAGCUUCCGGAUACACACAUUUAAACCCUAAGAUCAUGUAGAAGAUAACAAAAAUUGUAAAAGUUGGUACUUUUUUUUGUUCAGAAAAAAUCCAAUGCAAUUUUGAGGGCUUUCAUAUUGAAUUUGGAAAAUUUAAGUGAUCCAAAUAUUUUGCGUGCUAAUAAAAACUCAAUCCAAGUACAUUCCAAGUACAUUUUUUUUAAUAGAAAUUCACCUAUAAAAGACCCGUAUAUAUAUAUAUAUAUAUACACACAUGCAUGGGCUUGCAAGAGAUUUUUUCUUCCCUUGGAGAAAAGUCUUUCUACUAUUGGGACAAAGCGAGCAAUUUUUUACAGUAAGAUUAAAACACACAUUAUGAAAAGAUUAAAUUGACACUUGGUGAGUUAAUUGUUCUAUUUAUAGAAUCUAUUUUAAAAGAAGCAUAAACAGUUAAACAGAUUGAAAAAUAUAGAGUAGAGAUGAAAUUCAAAGGAUAAUCUGAAGUCAGAAAACAUGUCGAAAUUGUGGAUUUAUCGUCCAUAUCAAUAGUUAAUUGAAGAGUACUGUUAGGGCCACGAACAGCCGAGAAUGCCUGCAUUGCACACCUACGUCUCUCUUGAAGCCUCUAUAAAAAGGGAGGGUUAGCAUGGCAAUGGAAACCAUAAGUCCCUCGAAGCAUAUACACAUUACCAACUAGCUUGAUGGCUAUUCCUACUGGCUUGCUUUUAUUAGGAAUGCUCUUCCUAAUGUUCUCGUUUGCUUCUGCUCAGAUAGAGAUGCCAAGAGGUAUCACUGAGGACUUUGAUACGACUUGUAUCACUGAUCUUAAAUUCGGGUUAUCUCGUAAAUCCUUUCCGGGGGAUUUCAUAUUCGGGGCAGCGGCAUCCGCUUACCAGGUAUGAACCUUCGCUUAGCUUCCAGAGUUCCCUAAUGAUGCAGUAUACAUUUCUUUUUUAUUUGCUCUUGUUGGAUACAUUUCGCUUAGCUGCUGUAACUCAAGAGUUUUUGUAAAUCAAGAAUAAUACAUGCAGCACCAAAGUGCAGAAUCCACAUGGAGAGGAGCAGCAAACGGAAAAAUAAACGCACACACGAUAUUUUAUUUUUGGUAAAUUAGCGUGUAUUAUUCGUAAUCCUCUGAUAAUGCAAAUCUUUGUGAUGGUAUGCAGACCGAGGGUCAUGCAAACAAAAGUUGCAGAGGUCCGAGUAUAUGGGACACUUUUACUCAAGAUUUCCCAGGUAGUUCUCUCUCAUUUUCUAUGUGCGUGCCCAUGUUGUUACGAUAAAGAUGAAGGAGAAAGAGCUAAAGAAAGCUACCCUAUGGCUGGUUCUGGUUCAUUAAAUUGAAUUUCAGGGAUCAAUUUUCAAAAUUUAUUAUUUCUAUUACAUGUGCUCCCCCCCUUUAGCAUUUGCCUCUUUCAUCAGGCAAUUAUUGCUACGGGUGUCCUUUAAUUUUUUAAUUGAAUCUCAAUUUGAAAGCUAACCCUAUAGUUUUGUUUUAUUAUUAUUAUUAUUAUUAUUAUUAUUAUUAUACAUUUAUUGGAUUAUAAUAGAGGGAAGACAUUUGACAAAUUACGUUCAAACUAUGAAAGGAAGCCAAUAAAUAGUCCAGGUUGGCCUUUCCCAUUGUUUCUCGAAACUAAGAAUAUAUAUGCACAAGCAGGUUUGCUUCGGUCUAGACACAGUGUUUCUGAUAUAUAUAUAUAUAUAUAUAUAUAUAUAUAUAUAUAUAUAUAUAUAUAUAUAACAGCAAGCAAGAAAGACACGAUGUAUGGAGAUAUAUGACUUGGCUUUUGGCGGUCAAAGUUUAUAGCUUUUCAAACCUAUGUAUAGAAAUAUAAUUUUGAGUUUUUUGAAUUAAGAAACCAAAACAUUUAACCAAAUAUAGCUUUACUCUAUCAUUUUCUGGUUAAUUUGUCAACAUUUAUAUUUUUAUUUAAUUGAUGUUAAUUAAUACAGUAGCAUUAUGAUUAAAGGAUCGUAUCCAUAUAUCAAGGGAAUUUUAAUUAAAAGGUAAAUAAAAAAAAUUAUUUUUUCAUUUUUUAAUAUAUUUUUUUAAAAAAUCAUGAUAUAAUUAUAUCUAUACCAAAAAUAUUUAUUUUAUUAUAAAAUAAUAAAUUAAAAGAGAGAUAUUAAGCAACAAUAAUUAAAUUUACAGGAGGAAAGAUGAGACUAUCGUUUAUCAUUUCGUAAUCACAACAAUUGUGAUUAAGAAAAUUAAAUUUUUAUAUCUCAAUUAAAUUUAUAAUUUCAAAUCCAAUAUAGAUAAAAUGACGCAUAUUUUUCUUCUUUAUUACUUUAUAUAUUCUUAUAUUUCAAUCGAUUACACAUAUAUGAUAAUUAUUGUAUUAAUUAUGGUAAUGUUUUAUUAAUUUAAGAUAUAUAUGAAGUAUUACAUCUUUUUUAUUUUUAGAAUUGUCAUGGGGGCGAUUCAUAUCAUAUUCAUGCAUGUUCUGAAGCAUUGCUUCACAGAUCAAAAAGAUUUAAAAACAUAGAAAAAAACUUGGGCCGGAGAAAAAAAUAUAAGAACCCAAAACAUAAUAGAGGUGGAUCCCAUCAAGAACACUAAAUAAAUAAUAAAUAAAAUUGAGAGAGAUAAACCAUUAUACUUUGCAUGAAUGACUAAUAUGCAGUUGCAUCAAUGAUUUUUAUGAAAACAUUCAGAAAGGAUAGCUGAUGGCUGCAACGGAGACUUGGGAAUUGAUUUGUACAAUCGCUACGAGGUAUGAAUUUGAUGAAAAUGGAAUUUAAGUUGCCUUCUGGUAUGGCAUACCAAAAAAUGGAAUGCAUUUAUUACGUAAAAUUCAAAUUUGUUAAAAUCAAAUAGAUACAUUUUCAUUACUCAAAACUCAACUCAUAUAUGCAUGCAAAUUUCAAAUAAUGAACGUAAAUUUGCAUACUUUGUGACAGAGUGAUCUUGAAGAAAUGAAGGAUAUGAAUAUGGAUGCUUUCAGAUUCUCGAUCUCCUGGUCCAGAGUAAUUCCCAGUAAGUAUUUGUUGGUUGAUAUUUUCUUUUUACUUUCAAUUCUUAAAAAAAAUCUUGUGUGUUCAGGUGGGAAAAUAAGGGCAGGAGUGAACAAAGAUGGAAUUGAGUUUUACAACAAGCUAAUCGAUGCAACCAUAGCUAAAGGUUUAAAUCUUCUCCCUUUCCCUAGAAAUAUAAAUUUUUUUGCUGUAAGUCAUGCGUGCUGCUUGAUUCAUCAAAAUAUAUGGUUUGUUAAGAAAUAAUUUGCCAUGUAAAAAAAAAGAAAUGCAAAACUUGAUUUCAGAAGUUCUUAUCUUAGACCUUUUCUCAUGUUUUAUGCUACAACACAGGUUUACAGCCCUAUGCAACUCUCUUUCAUUGGGAUGUUCCUCAAGCACUUGAAGACAAGUACGGUGGCUUUCUCAGUGAUAAUAUUGUGUAAGUUGUCACCUAGCAUGCUGUAACAUACUGUGUUCCAUCAUUAUGCAUAUAUCAAGCUGCUAUUCUAAGGUUUUCUUUGCUUUUAUUUUUCUUAUACUGCAUUUUAUUCUAUUUAUGGUUUUUUGCCAUAGUAAGAUAUUGUGUAGUUUCUGUAUUACUCCCGCCAGGAUUUGGCGUUUAAAUAAUAUACACAUCUUUCAAAAAAAAAAAAAAAAGCUUAUUUAAUAAUUCACAAAGUGCAAAAAUUAGGGAAUCAAGUUGUUAUAGUGAAUUUUUUGUUCGUCUAAUUUAUAGGAGCGACUUCCGAGAUUUUGCUGAGCUUUGCUUCAAGGAAUUUGGUGACCGAGUGAAGUACUGGAUUACUUUGAAUGAGCCACAAAAGUUCACCGGUGAUGGCUACGAUUCAGGUCACUUUGCACCGGGCCGAUGUUCCAAGUGGGUGGAUGAAAAGUACUGCAUAAAUGGGAACUCUUCCACCGAGCCUUACAUAGUUGCCCAUAAUCUCCUCCUUUCCCAUGCAGCAGCAGUACAUACAUACUGGGAAAAGUAUCAGGUAUCCACUAAUUGCACGUUUUUAAUGGGUAGUGUAAAGUAUCUUUUAAUCCCCAUGAUCUUAGCUAUAUAAUUAGUCAAUCCCUUGAGUUCAAAUGCUAAAAAUUGAAUCCUAUUUUUAAUCCCCCUGCUAGUUUUGCCAGAAAAAGUAAUCAUUAUUUCUCACAAAUUUUCCAAUCUCAAGGGAUUGGAAAAAGAAAUCAGCAACAAACUCUUGUCGAUGAACUACUCUUGAAAAAAUGCAGGCAUCUCAAAAUGGGAAGAUUGGGGUAACACUCAAUGCCCGCUGGUUUGAACCGUACUCUAACAGUACAGAAGAUCGUAAUGCUGCCAAAAGAUCUCUUGAUUUCAUGCUUGGUUGGUAUGUAUUUCUCCAAACAUAAAUAAGUAGGCCUUAAAUUAUCUUCAUUAGCUAUUUCAAUAUAAUUAUGUGUAGAUUUUUUACUAACAUUUCACGUUUCUAGGUUCCUGAACCCUAUAACAUAUGGUGACUAUCCGAGCAGCAUGCGGGAAUUAGUCAAUGAUAGGCUACCAACAUUCUCUCCACUGGAUUCUAUAAAUCUCAAAGGAUCGUUGGACUUUGUUGGAUUGAAUUACUAUACUGCAUAUUAUGCAGCAAAUGCGAAUUCUUCUAGUCCAGACCCUCGUAGAUAUCAAACAGAUUCUAAUUGCAUUAUUACAGGUAUGCUCAUAAAAUGUAAUGAUAAUAUAUAUACAUAUAAGAGAACGAAAGAGGAAAAAGAGGAAAGAAUAUUUUCGUUUUAAUCUUGUUGCAUGGGACGAAAAACAUCAUUGUAGCCAUGGAUAAUUAUCACAGGUAUGCCACAGGUUCAUUCGUUAAUUUCUACAGACUAUGUUCCUAAAAGAAAUGAAGUUUUACUUACCUUGCCAAGGUUUCCCUUAAUUACUUCCAUCACUUAAAACAGAGAUUUUGUUUAAUUUGUACAUUUUCCACCAAAAAGCCGAGGAUCUAAUCCAAAAAAAAUUCUUCCAUAAGGUGGUUAAAUUUUACCCAUUAAUGUUUUUCAGGAGAACGAGAUGGCAAACCCAUCGGUCCACAGGUUUGUAUGCAAAUAAUACAAAUUUUCAAACUCUUUUUUUUUUUUACGGAAUUGAAACUAAAAAAUAUUCUUAUCACAAAUUGCAGGCUGGUGUAUCAUGGCAGUAUAUCUAUCCAGAGGGGUUGCAGUAUAUGUUGAAUCACAUCAAAGAUACAUACAAUAAUCCAGUAAUUUACAUCACUGAAAAUGGUAUUUGAAAGAACAAAACUUUUGGCUCUAUAAUUAAUUGAAGCUAGUCAAAGUUGUAAUGGCCAAACUCAUCAUCAAUUCUUGAUUCCAUUUCUUUCUUCUGUUCAGGCUACGGUGAAGUCGUUAAGACAGAUGUACAACUACAUCAUGGAACCGUGAUGGAUCUUCCAAGGGUAGAAUAUCAUUGUACUCAUCUUAGGAAUGUUGUAGCGUCUAUCAAGUGAGUUUACACUUUGGGAUUUUUUUUUCUUGCUUUGUUGUCUUAGUUACCGUGAGCAUGCACUUAAAUUCUGCUAUUACAAGACCAUACUGUUAACAUUUGAACUAAUUUUGGCAGAAAUCAUGGAGUUCAAGUCAAAGGUUAUUUUGUAUGGUCCUUUGCCGACAAUUUCGAAUUUACAGAUGGAUAUACCAUAGGAUUCGGUUUGUUGUACGUAAACCGUACGUCUAAUUUCACAAGAAUUGCGAAGCUCUCAUCACAUUGGUUUACAGAAUUCCUUGGGGACCAACCGGCUAAUCCAGUACCAUUAUAUUUCAAGCGAUUGAAUAUAGCUUGAUGGAAGAGAAAUUAAGUAUUUGGCCGCCAAUAUAAAUAAAUAAAUAAUCACUAGGAUAACUUUUAUCCAGUGAACUCGAUUCUAUGAAUUUUUCCUAAUUAAGUGUGUGAUGUAUUAUACUGUAUUGUUUCAAUAAAAACUUGGUUAUAUAUGUCACCAAGUUAAAUCUCAAUGUAAGAGCUCCAGCCUCGUGUUGUUCUAGUACUGAAAUGCUUUGUAUUUUAAUUUGAAAAGGCUGUGAAGUACUCUUACCGUACUAUUAUCUUAAUUAUGUUCUGUGGCUGUUUGUUUUUCUUUUUUUUUCGAUAGUAUUAUUAGUCAAUGGUAGCCAUGGCCAAAUCAAAACAAGUUGACAGUUUGUUAUAGAAGUAAGAAUAUUUGCAGAAAGAAAAAAUAGAGAUGCAUCAGUCCAGUCUCACGUCUUUUGUUGUUUGUCCAUUUACAAAUACCAACAGCAUUUCUGAGGAGAUCAUUACCUGUGUAAUUGAAAUGUUCUUCACAAUUCUUUAACCAUGUAGACAACCGGUGGAGGGUUAAAGAGAAGAAUGAUUCUAAAUCUAGUUGUAUAUCAUUGAAACCAAAUUAUUUAUGGUCAACCAGAUACUCCAAGCAAUACCAUACCAUAUGAGAGAAGUCUCCGUGCUAUCCUCUGAAAUCUACCAUUAACCAUUGCUGGCCAUUGAAACAGCAACUCAUCAACUCAUUUUGGAACACAACAAAGGACACCCGCCAUGAAAGAGAUUUUGUCCAUUUUUUCCAUGCAAAGUUGAUCAGAAGCAACAUAUGAUCUGAUGAUUCUAAUUCAGCUGCACAGAAAGCAAAGAAGCAUUGUUCCAAUGAUAGACGUCGACUGGAAAUAAAUGAUCUUGUACAUUGUCUGUUUUGAAGCCGGCAAUAUAAAGUUUCAUUUUGUGGUGGAGCUGCUUUGUUCCAAAUGCUUGAUUUAAAUGAGCAAGUUCUAUUAAACAUCAUUAAUCUAUCAAUCAGAGUACUGCAUGAUUUUAUAGUAAACUUGUCAUCGGCAGAUAUACCAGACUUUCACGUCUGAUUUCCUUUGAUGUUUUGUUGCUGUUAAAUGUGGCAGGCCUUUUGGAUGGUCUGUGACGCAUUCAACUUUAGUAAUUUACAAAUAUAGCUAUAAAAUACCUAAAAUUGAAAUGUUAUUGUUUGAAAGGCCAUACGCCAUGAAUCAUCUCUCCAUAUUCUUGAUCUAUUAUGAAUCUCAAAAACAUUAAUUAGCAAAGUUUAAUGAACUGUGUGAUUUUUUGAAUUCAUUAGAGACUAAUUUUGUUAUCAGUCUUUGAAUUGAAUGGUUACUUUAGUAAUCCUUGUUUACUUGAAUCAAGUUUGUGCUUUUUAUCGCUCCCCGAUGGACAUCACUUGCAGUAGCUCGAGAUUUGAAUCUGUUUUGGAAAAUGUACGGAAGAUGAGAAAAUUAAAGUCAGUAAUAUAAAAGAAUUAAAAAUUCUAAUAUUUACAUUGAUUCCAUAAAUUUAGAAACUAGGUUAGUUAUAUUCAAAGAGAAGGUAGACAUCACCCCUAACAUAUCCUUUCAGAUAAAAAGUUAUCAUUACUUGUUUUUUUUUCUAAAUUCAUUCCAUGUUAUAAUAUUCUAAGUUUAUUUGGAAUUUAUUUUGAAGGUUGGUGUUAGUUUCUAUUAUUCGUGAUUUAUUUUGAAGGUUGGUGUUUGUUUCUAUUAUUCGCGAUUUAUUUUGAAGGUUGAUGUCAGUUUCUAAAAAUUAGAAACACAUCAAAAAAUUAACAUCAAUCUCUAAAAUAGAAAACUCAUAAAAAUAAUAUUGAUGUUCAUUCCUAAAAAGGAAUCUUCAUUGAAAUUGCUAAAAAUAGGCGCAACCCGUAUUUGAUUUUAAAAUCAUAACAUCAAUCUCUUUUUUUAAAAAAAGAAGUAUAAAAAAUGAUGUUUAUCCCUAAAAAAAAAGAUUUCAUCAAGGUUGUUAAAAGAAUAGGUAUUGAACAUAUAAGGAUAAUAAAAAUUAGGCUCUGGACCCCAUUUUGUCUUAUAGGUCCUUAAAAGUUUUUGUUGUUAUCUAUUUUUAGGACCUAUAUAAACAAAAAAAUCAUUAAAAAAUGGAAAAAAAAUACAACAAAAAAUAUUAGAAGAAAAUAAUAUAUAUAUAUAUAUAUAUAUAUAUAUAUAUAUAUAUAUAUAUAUAUAUAUAUAUAUAUAUAUAUAUAUAUCAGUGAGAAGAGUAUACCAGAACGCUUAAGAAAUCGCCCAAGACUGGUUGAUAAAGUUCAAAUAUAUAAGAUUGAAAAAUUUAACAGUGUAUAUUGGCAAAGAAAAUUCAUUUUAAGAAGGAAAAUUCAAAAUUGAAUGUUUAAGGACUCAAUUAGAAAAUUACAAGAAAAAAUGAUUUUUAAAAUUAAUUUAGGCUUUAAUUUGAAGAAAUUGAAGUUUGGGGAUCGAAUUGCAAUUUUUAGGAGUUAAUUUAGUCAAAUCAAGGGCUUAAUUGCAUAAAUAUUGAAGUUUGAUGGGUAAUUAGGGACUUGAUUGAAGAAAUCCAAAACCACCCAAAAUGAAAAAAGAAAGUGUAAAUAUAGGGGCUGAAAUUAACCAAAUCAGAGGCUAAAUUGAAAAAAUUGAAAGUUUGGUGGUCAAUUAAGGGUUAAAAUACAUAAAUUCAUAACCAAUGACCAAAAUGAAAAAUGAGUCUAAUUUAAGGGCUGACAAUUGAGUUUGGCGGAAGUGAAAUUCCUUGAAAUUAAAAGUUUGAAAGCAAUUAUGGAUGAAAUUAAAAUAAAUUGGAAGAAUAGAGGCUCAAUUGAAAUUGUCCAAUCCCAAAUCAAAAAAUCUAAACGACACAUCGUUCAAACUUAAAAAAAUGUGUUAGUGGCAUGUCGUUCGGUCAAUUGAUCUCUAUUUUUAAUAAUUUUAUUUGAUUGAGUUGAGAACUUUAAAAGUAUAAAUAUAAAGCUACAUAAUUCCAAAUUAAGAAUAAUUUGAUUUAAAUAAAAAAGUACAUUCCAACUACCCAUUUCAGGUUGUGUUUGGCGAUGAUAACAUCAGAAUUGGUUCUACGGGGCUUGAAAUUGGGCAUGAUGUACACAAUAAAUCAAUUAUUUAUCAUGACAAAAUCCCAGGUACAACAAGUCUAGAUACAUCGUCACCAAUACUAAGUACUAUUAUAACGUCUAGAUACAAUUGCAGAAGAAUGGUGAAAUGUAUAACAUGUCUUAGAUAUAAAGGGAGGGAUAGCAUGAGAAUUGAAACCAUAAAUCCCUCAAACCAUUCACAUUAGUAUCUAGCCAAAUGGCAAUUCAUCUUGGCUGGAUUUUUUCAGGAAUGCUCCUCCUAGUAAGCUCGUUUGCUUCUGCCAAGCUAGUGAUGCCAAACAACAUUAUGGACUUAAAUGUUCCUUUUGCCACUAAUUUUUUCAACCGUAAAUCCUUUCCAAGUGAUUUCAUAUUUGGGACAGCCUCGUCUUCUUACCAGGUAGCUAGAUCGAUUGAAUCUUUAACUCGAGUUACUAGUUACAUGAACACUAGUGCUAUAACAUGUCUAGAUACAUCGUCAUGAACACUAGUGCUAUAACAUGUCUAGAUUCAAUUGCAGUGGAAUGCUAAUAUGUGUAGCAUGUCUAGAUACAUAGUGACGCACACUACUGCAAUAACAUGUCUAGAUACAAUAAUAAUAGAAUGCUGAUCUUACUUAAUAUUAUCCUACUAGUAAAACAUGUCUAUUUACAUGGUAAACUUACAGUGAAUAAAAAACUUAUGGAUGGCGUUUGAGACAAUAUAAAGUUUUUAAACCCAUACCAAACAUAAUUUUAGUACAGGAAAUAUAUACAAUUGUAGUAGAAUGAUCAUAAUGCUCAAUACAAAUAGCCAAUUAGUUAUAAACCAAGCUUAAAUAUAGCUACAAAGCUAAUGCUAUUCGGAUUCAGGAAUUUAGAGCUAGCAUGUAUCAAAAUUUGAAUCCUGAACUGAUUAUGCAAAUCUGUGUUUAUGGUAUCAAGUACGAGGGUGAUGCAAACGAAAGUUGCAGAGGUCGGAGCAUAUGGGACACUUUUACUCAAGAAUUCCCAGGUAUUUGUCUCGCCCAUUCUCUGUGUGCAUGCGUGCGUUAUUAAUUAAGAUGAAGAUGAUGAUGAUGAAGAAAGACCAAAAAUAGCUUGUUGUCUUUCUACACUAUAUGUCAAAAUAGGUCUGGUUCGGGUUCAUUAAAUUUUGAUUUCAGAGAUGAAUUUUCAAAUUUUAGUGUUUCAAUUACUUGCGAUUUCUCCCUUUGGCUUUUGCCUCUUUGAAUCGGGUAAUUUGCUAAGGACAAGUGAUUCAACUUUUUUUAAAUCUAUAUUCUCUUACAGAUAUUUUCAACGAAAGCUUGUUGUCUUUCUACACUAUAUAUCAAAAUAUAGUUUUGAUUUUACGAAUGAAGAAGCUAAAUUAAACAGUAACUAAAUAGAACUUUACUCCACCAUGUUUCUGAUUAAUUUCUUAAUUUUUUAUUUUAUUUAAAUGAUGUUAAUUAAUACAGUAGCAUGAUCAUUAAAUGAUCAUAUUCUGAUCAUUUCAAGGGAAUUUAAAUAAAAAGACUUUAUAUUACUAUUACAUUUAGACCAAAAGUAUAUAUAUAUACACACACACACAAACACAUUAAUGUACAGCUCCAUCAAUCAUUUUUAUGAAAACAUUCAGAAAGAAUAGCUGAUGGCAGCAACGGAGAGAUGGGAAUUGAUUUUUACCAUCGCUACCAGGUAUAUAUCAAUUUGAUGAUAAUGUAAUUGUAACAUAGAGUUUCUUGGAUGGAUAUGGAUACUUCUACUAAUGGACGUGAAUGUCCAUACCGUGUCGACAGAGUGAUCUUCAGACAGUGAAGGACAUGAAUAUGGAUUCUUUCAGAUUCUCUAUCUCUUGGUCGAGAGUAAUUCCCAGUAAGUAUGAUAUAAGAACAGUGAUGGUGUGCUUUUUAUUUAUUUAUUUGCUGAUAAUUUUUACUUUUACUUUUCUCUAAAACAAAAAUCUAAUGAUAUUCAGGUGGGAAAAUAAGGGCAGGAGUGAACAGAGAUGGAAUUGAGUUUUACAACAAGCUCAUCAAUGCCACCAUAGCUAAACGUUUAAAUCUUCUCCCUCUCCCUAGAAAUAUAUAUAUAAAAUCUUGUUGUUAGUCAUCCGUGCUGCUUGAUUCUUCAAAAUAGUUUGCUGAGAAAUAGUUUUCCAAGUGAAAAAGAAAAGCAAAAUUUUAUUUGAGAAGUUAUUAUCUAAAACCCUCUCUCAUAUUUUAUGCUAUAACACAGGUUUACAGCCUUUUGUAACUAUCUUUCAUUGGGAUACUCCUCAAGCACUCGAAGACAUGUACGGCGGCUUUCUAAGUGAUAAUAUUGUGUAAGUUAUCACAUUUUUUUGUUCCAACAUUAAAUACAUAUAUCAAAAUAGAAGCCAAGCAUUUUUAUUUGUAAAAAUAGGAUAUGGAAUUGUAACAUAGAAUUUUUUGUUCUUCUGAUUAAUUUAUAGGAACGAUUUUCGAGAUUUUGCUGAGCUUUGCUUCCAGGAAUUUGGUGACCGAGUGAAGUACUGGAUUACUAUAAAUGAGCCACACAAAUACUCCAGUGACGGCUAUGAUUCAGGUCAAUUUGCACCUGGCAGAUGUUCCAAAUGGGUGGAUGAAAAGUACUGCAAACAUGGAAACUCUGCCACGGAACCUUACCUAGUUGCCCAUAAUCUCCUCCUUUCUCAUGUAGCAGCAGCAGAUACAUACAAGAAAAGGUAUCAGGUAUCCACUAAAUGCACAUUUUUAAUGGAUAAACUAUUAUUUAAUCCCUAUGAUAUUAGCGAAAUAAUUAGUCUAUCCCUUGUGUUUAAGGCAUAAAUAUUGAAUCCUAUUAUUAAUCCUUGUGUUAGUUUUGCGUGAAAAUUUAAUCAUUGUCUUUCUUAAUUCUUUUCUUCGCCUGUAGUAAAAUCUUCUAAUUUCACCAACUACAUUUAUAAAAGAACUAACAAUCAACUCUUGUCAAUAGACUACAAAUGUUUUUUAGGCCCGUUUAUUUACAUGCCUAAGAAUUAUUUUGGAAAGUAGUUUUCAUGUAAAAUAAAUUAUUUUUUUGGUAUAUAAUAAUGUCAUGUGAGUUGUAAAAUAUUUUCCAGUAUUUGGUUAUAUAAUAAAAAAUAAGCUGGAAAAAUAACUUAUUAAUGUUUUAAUUUUUUUUCAAAUUUAUUAAUAAAACGAGGAAUAAAUCUUACAGAUAAAAAAGUUGAAGGAUGAUGAAAUUAAAAAAAAAAUCUAAUUCCAUAAAUUAUUUCAAAUAAAAUAAAUAAAGUGGAGAUUAGAUCUCACAGAUAAAAAAGUUGAAAGAUAAUGAAAUUAAAACAAAUACAAUUUGAUAAAUUAUUUCAAAAAACAUCAUAAAUUAUUUCAAAUAAAAUAAAUAACAAUAAAAAAUAAGAAUUAGAACUUAUAGAUAAAAAAUUCAAUUAAAAAAAUGAUAAGAGAAAAAUAUAAUAAUCAAAAGAAUAAGGAAAUCAAUUGAAAUUAAAUUUUAAAUGAUGAGAUUGAAAAAAAAAAGGAUUCAAAAGAAAAUAUAUAUUGCAAUCAAAAGAUUAAAGACCAAAUUGAAUAUAAUAAAAAAAUAAUAAGAUUUAUCUGAAUUUUUCACAACUUCUGUAAAGUGUUUUCCGUCUAAAAUAAAAAGAAAACACUUUUUAGGAAACGAAUAUAAUUUUUUCUUUGACAGUAAAUUGUUUUUUAUUAACUAAUUUUUCUAAUGACAAACAAACAUAUAAAAGUUUGAAAAGUGAUUUUUAAAAAACUAUUUUUCAUGAAACAAAUCGGGCUUAAAACUAGAAAAACUAACUUACAAAAUUGUAAAACAUACAUGAAUCAAAUCAUAAUUUACAAUUAAUGAAUUUUACGGGAUGUGUAGAAAAUUAAAAUAAUAUAUGUAUGUAUCACUUUGUUUGUUGAAAUGCAGGCUUCUCAAAAUGGGAUGAUUGGGAUAACACUCAAUGCUCGUUGGUAUGAACCAUACUCUAACAGUACAGAAGAUUAUGAAGCUGCAAAAAGAACUCUUGAUUUCAUGCUUGGUUGGUAUGUAGUUCUCCAAAUAUAUGCUAGUAGCUAGCUAGGCCUUCUGUUAUUUUCAUUAUAUGCUUUAAUAACAUUAUCUGUAUAUUUUUUACAAUUUUUCACGCUUCUAUAUAGGUUCAUGAACCCUUUGACAUAUGGUGACUAUCCAAGCAACAUGCGGGAAUUGGUUCAAGAUAGAUUACCAAAAUUCUCUCCACUGGAUUCUAUUUUUCUCAAAGGAUCAUUAGACUUUGUUGGAUUAAAUUACUAUACUGCAUAUUAUGCAGCAAAUGCCAAUUCUUCCGAUCCAGAUCAUCGCAGAUAUCAAACAGAUUGUAAUUCCAACAUUACAGGUAAGAAUUUUGUUGUUUUAGUCUUGCUAAGGCACAAAAUGGUGCAUUGUAGCCAUGAACCAUAGCCACAAGAAAUGUCAGGUUACGUUUUGCUUAAAAAAAUGAUCUCCCAGGCUGAGGUGGUUAUGAUAUAAUUUUACCCCGUUGUUCUCUUCAUAUUUUUCAGGAGAACGAAAUGGGAUCCUCAUCGGUCCAAAGGUUUGUAUGCAAAUUAUACAUAAUUUACAUAGCUUUUUUUCGAUACUUGAGAUUGAGGAAAAAUCUUUAUUAUAUUACGCUGGAUUUGUUACAAAUUACAGGCUGGUGCGCCAUGGCAGUAUAUCUAUCCAGAGGGGAUACGAUAUCUUUUGAAUCACAUAAAAGACAAAUACCAAAAUCCAAUAAUUUACAUAACUGAGAAUGGUAUUAAAAUAAACUCUGCACAUUCUAAUGGAAAGUUAGUAAAAUUUUAAUGGUCGAAUUCAUAGAUUCUUGUUUCUUUCAAGGGUACAGUGACUUCCUUGGUGCUGAUGUAUCAGAAGCGAAAGUCUUGGAUGAUCAUCCUAGAAUAGAAUUCCAUUUUAACCAUCUUCGGAAUGUUCUACAAUCUAUCAAGUGAGUUUACCUAUUGCAUGCGUGGUUAAACGAUUUUAAUUCCUUUGUUGCCUUUAAUUAAGAUGAACAUAUAUAAACUUAAAAUCGGCUGCUAACCGAAAAAGUUUCUGGUGGUUCAAAUAAUGAUUUAGAUAAACUAUUAGACCAAACUGUUUAACAUUGGAGCUCAUUUUUGCAGAGACCAUGGAGUUCAAGUCAAAGGCUACUUUGCAUGGUCUUUCGCCGACGACUUCGAAUUUAUAGAUGGAUUUACCAUAGGAUUUGGUUUGGUGCAAGUAAACCGUUCAUCUGGUUUCUCAAGAAAGGGGAAGCGCUCAGCAUCCUGGUUUUCGGAAUUCCUUGCGGACAAAUGGGCUGAUCCAAAGGUAUAAUUCAAGCGAUUAAGAAUAGCUUGAUGGAUCAGAAAGUGUUUGACCAAUAUAUACGGGACUAUUUAUAUAUACUAGUGUUGUAUAUUAGUGUGUAUAUAUAUCAGAAAGUUUAAGAGAUUCUAUGUGGGUUCUUCCCAUGCAACCAUUGACUAUCUUAUGCAAGCCUCCCUCCACAAAACCAUCUGGUAGUAUGUAUGGCUUCAGAGUUAUGCCGAGAUUAUGAGGAGUGGAAAGGGCUACAGUUGGAUUUUUUUUUUUUUUUUUUUUUUAUAAUCAUCCAGAAUAUAUUGAAAAGGUUAUAAAAUUAAUAGUCAAAGCAAAAUAUAGAAACAUUAAAAAAAAAAUACACGUAGAGAAACAGAAAGAGAGAAAAAAAACUAAUCUACUACAAAAAAAAAAUAACUAAUGUUACAAUAGAAACAAAGAAACUACCUAAGAUUUUUUAUUACACCAUAAUUUGAUGUCAUCAAAAGAUCUUAAGAGGUCAUUUCCUGCAUAAGUGAAGUUUUAAUCCAGAGUAAGCAACCUGAUGAAAGAUGUUGGAGAAAUAAUCAAACAAGCUUAUAGUUCCCUCCUAAGAAACAAUAUUGUUCCUCAACAACCAAAUACCCCAAGUAGUACUACUGGAGAUUAGUCUCCAAGCUAACCUUUGGAAUUUGCCUUGCCUCAUUUCGGACCACUGCAAAAGCAGCGAGUCUAGUGUGCUCGGUAAACAACAUUGGAUACCCCACCAAUCCAAAACUUUCAUCCAAACACUUCUAGAAAAGUUACAAUGUGUAAAAAGGUGCUCUGAAGUUUUCAAAUCUGAGUUGCAAAAGACACACGAAACUUGAGUGGCAGGCAAAACAUUCCGGUGAUGGAGAAAAGCUCUUGUACUAACUUUGUCCUAGACUGUCAACCAAAGAAACACUUGAACUUUCGGAGAGGCCCUUUUAAUCUAGACGUUGGCUUCAAAAACUUUAGCAUUAGCAAAAGAGGUAUUAUCAAUUAAGGUACAACAAGACUUAACUAAGAAGUUUCCAUCAGAAUUACACAGCCAUAUGAUUUUGUUAUUUUUUUCAUGCUGAAUUAUCAUUGGCUCCAGCAUCGAUAGCAAUUGAUGAUAUUGCUACUCUUCAUAAGAUAAGAGGUUUCUACGUCAAACCAAAUUCCUUCGCCAAUGAUCAUUCACCCAUUGACCCAUCUCAUGAACCAAACUAUUUUGAAUAGCAGAAACUUUGUAAAGCCUAGGGAAAAUGCUACGCAAAGCAUUUGAUCCUAUCCACACAUCAAACCAAAAGAGAAUGGAGAACCCAUCACCAAUCAUGAAUUUAAUGUUUUGAUGCAAUACUGAGUUGAUAACACUGUUUGGAUCCAAGAUUGACAAAAUAUCUUUUCAAAAUGGGGAAAUAUGACCAUGCAAUUUUGGGAUUCCAAAGGCAUGCCCAGAUAAGAGCAAGGCAAGGAACCAAAUCUGCAAAAGAUUGAAGAUGACAUACUAGCACAAGCAUCUUCCCCAACAUUUAUACCAAUUAAAGAGCUUUUAUGGAAGUUAAUAUGCAAACCUGAACAAAUAGCGAACCACAGAAGAAUCCUUUGAACUGUUUUAACCAUGUGAAGAUUAGCAUGCAUGAAAAUUAGAGUGUCAUCUGCAUAUUGCAGAUGACUGAGGCAAAAGUUGUCUCCAAAAAGAAUACCUUUGAAAAGAUCAGUUGUAGUUGUUCUCUGAAACAAAACAAAUAACCUCUUUGCUGCAAUUAGAAAAAGGAAUGGAGAAAGGGGGCUACCUUGACGAAUCCCACGACCUAUCAAGAAUUCCUUAGAAGGAGAUUCAUUAAUCAGCACUAAUAAUUUUGUGGUGGACAUGCAAGUGUUGAUCAAAUUAAUCAAUUUUUCACCAAAACUCAUAUACCUCAUAACCUGCUCUAAAUAAUCACACUAGACACUGUCGAAAGCUUUGUGAAAAUCCACCUUAAAGAUAAAGCUCGACACCCUGCAUCUUUCAAGAAAUAAACUGCUUCAUUAGCAACCAAAAACCCAUCAAUUAUUUGCCUCCCUGCCAAGAAAGUUGUUUGAUUCUCACUGAUAAGGUUAUGCAUAACCUUUUUCAGACGACUAGAAAGAACCUUAGCCACUAUUUUGUAAACGUUGUGAAUCAAACUAAUAGGUCUGAACUCUUUGAAGCCAACCAGGGAAAUUGUCUUCAAAAUUAGAUGAACAUAAGUAUGAUUGACUCCUUUUGGAAGACUACCUGUUUUGAAAAAAAUUCUUGGCCAGAUCUAACAAAUCAUCUGCAAUGAAAUCCCAAGCAAGCUUGUAGAAUUUGAAAUUGAAACCAUCUGAACCAAGACUCUUGCUCCCAUCAUAGUCCCAAACACUAUGCUUCAAUUCUUCCAAAGUGAUAUCUCGCUCCAAACUAGUUGAAGAAGAAGUCGUAACUGUUUUAAAACCAACGGGCCCUAAACCAUUUCGGAAUCUAUCAAGGCUUCUAAAUAAGUUGGAGAAGUAGCUAACUUUUGCAUCUUUGAUGAUCGUAAACCUUCAACAACAAAACCAUUAUGAACCACUUUCAGGAUAUGGUUUUUAGCCCUCUUGAAGUUAGCAACUAGAUGGAAGAAACGAGUGUUGUGAUCACCUCGGCGACACAAACUUGGUGAGACUUUUGCCACCACAUGCUUUCUAUACUCAAGUUACAUUGAAAAACCAAUCUCUUUAAAUAACUCUGUAACUUGGUUUCAAAUAAAAAACAAACCUUUAUAUCAAAAUCCCUGAUUAACUUUGAAAUCGUCCUCUUCUUUCUAGCUAACCCCAAACCACAAGAAUUCCAUGAAAGAAUCUGCAUAAGAAAAGUGAUUUAAAAUCCUUACCUAACAAGGAGGAACAGCUGCUCACUGAGAUGCUUCCCAAUUAGCCUUCUCUUUAUGCCUUUGUUGUUUUAUAUAAGAUGUGAAGUCAUCUAAGUUGUGAGGUUUUGCAAUCUGCAAAGCCUCCCCUAUUUCUAGCAUUAAACGAACCUCAUCACCCUCAGAAGCUUCAUUGUUUUCGCCAUGUGCUAGCAAGUUAGUCCUGUUACACAUCCGAAUUGCUGAGUCCUCAGUAUCCAUCUCAUUCUUGUUAAUUGUUUCAUUCAAACUCCCGUCAGCUGUAAUCAGCUUUGUACAUCGCAGCUUCAUUCCUUUUUUUGGCAGAUAGAACAGUGACACUCUCUUUUGUGUUUGUUUCAGGGUGUAAAAUAACACAAUGAUUCAUGUGCUGAGGUUCUGAAAUUAUAAGUCUUGAGGAUCAUAUGUUGAUUGAAAGGCUAAAUCAUAGUUUGAUCCAGAUGAAAUUAAGAGGAUGUCAAAUGGGCUUUGAAAUCCACUGUCCACAUGAGAAUGAAGGUUUUGUCCAUAAACUGGACUCUUAAACUCGGCCUACACAAAGGAGUCAAGGCCGAAUCCAGCUGCAGUUGCAUCGUGAUUCAUGAAUGGUUAUUUAUACUAGGUUCUGAUUUAUUAUAAUUAUUAUUUUUAUUUUUAUUUUGGAAUUUGUACAUGUUAUUCAUCUGUAGCAUUAAUAAUAAGAUAUCAAAAGAUCUGCUUGUAGCCUGUAUACAUAGUACAAUUUUGUGAAACAAAAUGUUGUAAAAAAGAAGACUACUUAUGUAAAAGAAUGUUGGCAAGUGAAACAGCUCAAGUUUAAUAAUACGAAAAGAAGUAUGAAACUAAAAUCUUGUGCACGAAACACCUCAAUCAGCCAAUUAAAGCAGUACGAAAUUUUAAUAAUGAGUGGUAUAACGCCCUAGUCUCGGGGGGAGGGAUUUGGUGUCUAAUUGAAGUUAAGCCUCUUGUCCUCACUAUCUAAAAAAAAUACCCCUUGUUGCAUAUAGUUUUAGUAAUCAUUCCUUUCAUCUUAUUCAAUUUUUUAGAAAAAAUAAAGAGCUUAUAUAAGGAUCCUAAAGUAUUGUAUAAUAUUUCUGCAAAACAAAUUCAAGAAAGAAUCCUUGAUCAAGUCAAAGAAGGCUCCAAUAAAUCCAAAUCAAUAAAUAAGUUAUCCUCAAGUCAUGAUACCAAGGAGAAAUUUGACCCUACAAUUAGGAAACGCUAAGAAAUCCUACAGUCAUGUAAGUAAUUUCUACACCUUAAGAUAAAUCACGUAUUAGAAUGAGAUUAUUUUGAGUAAGUCACUCAUAAGAAUGAAACCAUCUUAGGUAUUUUUAUUUUUAUUUUUUAAUAUUUCAAAAAUUAGAAAAAAAAUCUAAAUUUUUUUCUUUUCAAUAAAUUUAGUUAAUUUUAACAAUUUCAUUACUUUUGUCAUUUUUAUGUGUUAAAAAAUCAUAAAAAAUACAAAACAAAAAAAAUAGUUAUGGUUGAAAUUGGGCCAAUGAUUAAGCAUUACAGGAAAAAAUGAAGGUUGAGAAUUUAUUAGGCUACAAUUAAGGGUUCUAAAUUGGAAAAAAAAUUAAGAAAAUGAAUUCAUUUAAUUUAAUUUGGCUAAGAGUAAAAAAAUUUCAAUUUCAAGGAUGAUUUAAAAAAAAUAUAGUUAAGUUAUCAAUCAAUGAAGAGCUUAAUGAAGAAGAAAAUCAAAAUUUAAUUGCACAAUUUUGAGAAUGAAAAAUAAAUUUCCAACAAGUGAUUUACUUCAAUUAAGACAAAUUCAAUUGAAAUUACAUGAAUUUGAGAAACAAGGAUAAUUAAAAAGAUUUGAUUUAGGGAUUAAAUUGAGAGAGACUUCAAGAUUUAACCCUAUUUGAGUAAACUUAGAAACAAUCAAAAUUCAAGGACUGUAAUGAAAAAGGGGAAACACUCCAAUGACCAAAUGGCUAUUUAUAUAACUUCAUUUCAGUCCCAUUUGUCUCAAUCCAGUCCAAUUCAAUCCAAUUAAGUCCAAUUGAAUUGAUUUAAUUCAAUUUAGUCCCAAAUUAAUUCCAGACAAUUAAACCAGAGAUAGCAAUCUCCCAUUUAUAGCUCUUCAAAACCAAAUUUCUGAGCAAUUAAACCGAAGAUCCUCGCAAUUAAAUCCAGAAUCACAAUCCCUCAAUUUUGGCUUCUCAAAUGCUAGACAUUCAGUCAAGAUUCCAGCUUCAAAAUCCCUUAAUCACAACCCAAAUUAUCUCCAAUCCAAUCUCAAUAAAUCAAGCCUCCAAAUCAUUCAAAACUUCAGCCUUUUCUCUCCAUAAAAAGCAAGGAAUUCCACAAGAAAGGGGGAGGGGAAGAACCAGCCUCUGAUUCCAGAAAGACAGCACAAAACAAAACCUCCCAAGCACCCAGGACGCAACCAAGGACAAAGCCUCCCAUACCCAUAAAAACAAAAACCACGCAACUGCCUCAAGUCACCCACACCAAAAUCAAACCGAAAUUUCAAGCCAUUCUAGUCCCAAACCAAAAACCCGUGGUCAUUGAUUCACCACCAUACACUGUCACCUAAUCCAAUUUCUUCCAAGAACACCAUUGUCUUCCUCAUCAACUUCCAAGACCAGCAAACCAAAACCAUUAUAACCUGUCAUCUUCCUUACCCUCCAUUAACCCGAAACAAGCAACACCAGAGAAAGCAUCAAGAAUUUCAUCCACUAUUCCUCACAACUGAAUACCAAAAUUUUUUCCAGUAUCUCUUCCAACCAAAAACCAAUUUCCUACCCUUCACCAACUCAGCUCCAUAGAAGCACCACAAAGCAUCACAGAGCGAUUGUUUCUCCAAGAUCAAUUCCAUUCAUAACCUUCCACACCAUUUUCUUAUUCACCCAUAAUAGACGAACAACAACCUCCAUCUUCAAACCCGCCACCCACAGUCAGCUCAGCCCUCUUCAUCGACACGACGCACAACAAACCCACACCAUCACAUCCCGAACCAAUUCAACUCGAACAACCUAUCUCUAACCAUCAUUCUUCACAUCCUUCAGUCUUGAAACAACCCAGUAAGAGCACCACCGUGAAGCCGCCACCACUAAAAACCAAAACCCACAGAAAUUAAUCGAAGCCGAUCCGCUAUAAAACCUCAACAAAUCAUCCAAACAAAAAAUGAAAGUGUUACCUUUUUCUCCUUAAAUACCCACGAAAGUAACCCCAACCACCCUCAAAUACCCACGGUUGUAACCCAUAACAAACCCAAGAAACAACCCUCACCUUAGCCAUCAAACUUGGCACACCACACUGACACCUACUCUCAUAGCCCGUCAGCCCAUCUAUCCUCCAAACCCAUAGCCCAAAUACAACUUAGCUUUUUCUCUCUAAACCCGAAGACAACAACCCAACAAACCCAAUUGAUUGAAUCUGGGUCCAUAGCCAAGAAACCACCUUGAAACAAACCAUAAAUCUACCCUCAUCCACCGUGGGUUUCUCCUCUAGACAAAACCUCACUUAUACCCGAAGCAUUGGUUAAGGAAGGAAGAGGAGAAGAGUUUGUUUUGGAGCUUUUCUUCGCAGUUUAUUAUUCCCCUCAUUUAUGCAGGCUUUUAAUAUAGGCCCGUGUAACACACGCGCGUCACAGUCCAGAGAAUCUAAUCCGCCAGUGCGUGAGCCACACUCUCACCACGUGUCCUAGUGGUAUUUUCCAAUAAUUUUUUGGUGUUUUUCGACAAAAAAAAAAUCAAUCUCAAACCCAAGUAAAUAUUUCUGUUAUUUUUAUGUUUAAAUUUUGUAUAUAUUAAUAAUUUUAUGCUCUUGUUUUAUUGUAAAAAUAUAAUUUUUUUUGUUCAGCAGUGAUAUUCUUAUAGAAAAAACAAUGAAUAAAACAAAAUUAUAGAAUUGUAAGAAAAAUAAUAAAAUAAAAUUGUCAUUUAUCAUUCCGCAAUAUUUUCUUAGCAUCCGAUUUAGUAGUUUGAGCUAGGUCAAUGUGAUCCCAAUAAAGCUUAUACAAUAAUGGCAUUGUUUUGGAUUUUAUUUUUGUAGAUUUCAAAUGAGAGAUAUCUACCUCUCAUGUAACAUUAAGGCUUAAUCUUGAUUGUAAUUGAAUUCCUUAAUGGCACAAAAACAUGAGAAAACAUGCGUUUAAUUUGUCAGCUACAAUCAUGGUGCGAGAAAUCAGGGUUUAAGUCUUAUAAUCCACUUCAAAUUUUAGGUCAAAUAUAUUUUCUCAGUCAGCCUUUAAUUAAGAACCACAGCCCAACCUUUCCAUUCUUAUGCAAGAUUCAAUUUUUAAAAUUUGAUCCUUUCUCCAUGACUCAAGCAAAGAGGAAUCAAUGGCUAAUACCUAAGUUGAUUUCUAUUACUAUCUUCAAGGAUUUGAUACUAAAAAAACUGGUGAUUUUUUUUCUUAAAAGGAUAACACUAACCAACAAACAAAAAAAAAAAAGGUAAGGGAACUGUCGCCUGUGGACAUACGACAUUAGGGGAUAGUGGAAGUUACCACCUAGUUGUGUCGCUAGGAAACUCGGGUGUACUAGUCUUAUUAGAAAUUCAAGGGGUAAAGGACUGAUUGUGGUUAGAAAAGGUAUUAACAAAUCUACUGCACCUUACCUAAAGUAAGCUGUAUUAUAUGAAUUGAAUGUGGUUUAAAGAUUUUGAUGAGUUCCUAACUCUACAACGGAAAUUUACUGAGUGACGACCAUUGUGUCACCCAUAAGUCCUGAACUUAAGAUGCUUUAAGGAGGGCUUGCCUUAAUGCAAAACAAUGUAUAGGGAGUAUACACUCUAAAUGCAAGUUAUAAUCAUUUUACGUGAGACGGGGGGUAGGUUCACUACUUAGUUUAAAAAAAGAUCUCUCAUUGUUCUAGUGAUCGUCUUCAUGAAGGCAAUAAGAGGGCUCGGUAGGUAAUGAGAUGACAUGUAUAUUAGUUACUACCAGUCCAAGAACUUAGCAAAGAGUUAGAUGAUUUCAUAAGCUUAAACCUCGACUAAAAUUCAUAGGGUAAGAUGCUACUCCCCCCACAUAACUUAAAGUUUCUAUGUGCUCAUCUCAUAGCGAUAUAUUGCAAAUAAACUAAUGAUGCAUGAAAACAUACAUGCAUAGACAUGAUAAAAUAUGCUAAAUCAUAAAUAAAAUAAAAUAAGCCAAAUGAAAAAAAAAAUGUGAACACAUCAAAACAACUAAACCAUAUAAAACACACAAAGUUUAGUCCAAUACUAUUAGAAGCAAUACCUUAUCAAGUGGAGUUGUCAUUCUAUUGCACGUGGACGCAUGACGUUGAGAGGUCGUGAAAGUCGUCACCUAAUUAUUUGAUUUAGGGUUACUAGAAAACCCGAGUGUAAUGGACUUAUCAGAAAUUCAAAGGUUAAGGGACUGCUCGUGGCUAGAAAAUGUAUUAGCUUCUUUAGUACACCCUACUUGAAAUAAGAUGCAUUAUGUUGUUUGAAUUUGGUUUAAAGAUUUUGAUGGGUUUCUAAUUGGUGGUAUGCUUAUGACAUAUGAUAGGAAUUUAUUCCAGUGAAUAAAUUUUAGCAUUUCGAAUUUAUUAUAAGCUCGUGUACCCAAAUUAAUUUUUAUGGAGAGGGAUCCAUGUAGAUAUCUUGAAAUGGUUCACCUAUCCUUAAAGACGGAAGUGUUUUCCACAACUUGUGUGUUGUGGCGAUAAAUACUCCCAAUUAAAAUUAAUGAAUUUUCCAGUCAAUUUCUGAUAUUUAAAUAUCAGCCUAUUUGUAGGUCCAAUAUUUAUACUAGAAUAUUGACCAUUAAUUCUCAUAAAUUAAAAUUUUAGAGAUUAUUAAAAUAUUGACAAAAUUCUCAUGAAUUCAGUAAAAUGGUAAUUAAAUUCAAAAUGCAUGCAAAUAUAUAUUCUUUGAAUUUUGCAUAAAAAUACUAAAAUACCAUGUAUUUUAUUUUAUUUAAGCAAAAUAUGUUUUUAUUUUUAUUUUGAGAGACUUGUCCAUAUGCAAAUAAAACAUUUUGUUAAUUAGUUUUUUUUCUUCUUUUUAUCUAUCCCUUUUUUUAUCAUUUAUUUAACACAAAGUAAAAGGGCAAUAAAAAGAAAAUAAACAUACACACACAUUCUCUAUUUUACUAUAUUUUACUUACACACCUAAUUACACAUAUCUACAAAGCACCAAUAAUUCAAAUUCAAAUAAUAAUUUAAAAAUACAUAUUAAACAUCUAAAAUUAUAAAAUAGAUCUUCCCAAGAUAAAAAUAAUAUGGAGAAGUUGUUGAAACUUGAGGACAGUACUGAAAGAUUCCAGGGGCUGGGCGAAUAGUGAUAACGAGUGGAACCACGUGCCUCUCCCACUGCUGGUGUGUGGAACCAGGCGCCUCCACAGGUAAAACUAGAAAUAUAGGUGGAUUUGAAGUGGUUAGUCCUCUUCUUCCUCCCUAGCUGGUGGUGAAAGUCAACGUUACCAGCAAAACGAGGAAAAACACACAAACAAUUGCUUUUACUUACGUUUCUAUUUCUUUAGAAUUGAUUCUUUCUUCCUCUCGGUUUGUUGGUUGCUGUUCAAUGGAGUAGCUGGAUUGUGAUGGUCAACGGUGCAGCUGAAGGACAAUCGUUAGUGUUACUAGAUGUGUGGGCUAUUGUUGAUGAGGACGACUAUGUUGGGAGCUGCUAGUGGUGUAGGACGUCAUGGAUUUGUUUUGAUGGGGAAUGAGUAGAUGACCGAGAGGGAGGGUUGUUAAUUACUUGUGUUUUGGAAAGGGAGAGGCUGUGGUCAGCGGUGCUGUUGGUAGUGAUAAGGAAAAGCUAGAGCUGCCGUGAGUUUUGGAAGGGAAAUGAGCUGUGGAUGGUGGUUCUUGUGGUUGUUGAGGGGCUGGCGUCUGGUGGUUGGGGAGUCGAACUGGUCUACAAUAAUUUUGCUCAUAAAGGGAGAGGGAGAGGAAAAUGGGUUUACAGCCCACAGUGUUUUUCUCUCUGGUCUACAAUAAUUUUGCCCAUAACUUAGUUGUUCUGUUCAUUUUUCGCCCCCUCCACACCCCUGUUGACUCUGCCCUGACGAAAUUAGGCUAACAUAAAGAAAUUAUUACAUAAACUAAGUUCAUCACAUCACAUGAGGCAUAAACUAAAUUAAUAAACAUGGGACAUACAGGGUAAAAUACAGAGAUUUUUGUUGAUCAUGAUGCAAUUCACAUAAUUUUAUCUAUGUCUUCUAUUUAUUAGUAUAGCCUGCAAGUGAUAUGGUAAAUUUAGCAUGUGUAAACAUUUCUCGUCUAACCUAACCUAGCACGUUCUUAUUUCAUUUUAUUUUAUAUUUUUUAGAUUAAAUUAAGCUCUCUUACGUUGAAUAUUGAAAACGAGUAUGAAUAUUGCUACAACGGUCUAACUGUCUAGCAGAGGCUUAAUUUUCAAUAGGAAGUGACGAGUUAAAGACUUUCAUGUCUUAAAUUUUUUUCUCGAUGCAGAUUGCAGAAGGUAAACAGAAGUUGUGAUGAACUUUCUAAGUAUGUGCUGGCGUUCAAAGCAAUCACAAAAAAGAGAUAUUACUCGAGACGAGGGGUCACCUGUGUUUUGGCUAUUAGUCAAAGCAGCCACAAACCAAGAAACUUCGUAUUUCCUUGCACAGCACUGUCCAAGCAAACUUCCAAAUAUUUGCUCACUAUAAAUUGAUAGCAUUCCCUUGAAAAUCAUCAAGAAACUCCCACUUAACAUUUUUCAGCAAAAGAAAGUUAACUAGUUGGCCUACAGUGUCUUCACCAAUACUACUUCAUCGAAAACUGUUUUAGAUAACAAGAGAAAGCAAGAAAUGGGUCAUUUCUCAGCCAUUUUCAGUUGCUUUGUUCCAUCGGCUUCUUCAAGGGUUAUAGAUGAAGCCCAUAAGAAGGCAGAGAUUCCUAAAAGCAAAUCAAAAUCAUCAGGUGCUCCAAUCGUAGUUUCUUACUUCCCCAUGAACUCAUAUCUCUCUCGCUUGUAGCAAAUUCCAUUCCAGGAAGAUGAAGAAAGGCCAUGUGAUUGUUUAUGCAGCUCAGCAUAUGGCGGGAGCCUGUGCGGUUCUGAUUUAUUUUUUUUAUUUUUUUAUGGAUAUGUUAUUUUAUUUGUUGCAAUAGCUAGGUAUUGCAAGAAUUGCUUAUCCUGUAAAGAAAACAAAGGAUGAAUACAAAAUCAUAUAUAAUUUUGUCCCGAAGUAAGAGUAAAAUUUAUGGAGUCCACCUCUCAAAUCAUUCACCCAUUAAAUUUAUUUGCAAAAUCUUAAUCCUACAGAUCCUGCACACCCCUAGGAACUUGCAAGCUUACAUCUAGUUCUUUUUUUUUUUUAUAAUAAUUAUUAAUAUCAUGCUAGCCAUUUAGAGGAUGGCGAUCAUGAAAAUUUAUAGUUUUUACAUGAAAAGUCAUAACUAAAAGAAAAGAAAACGAAGAUUGAUAAAACAAAAAUGCCUACACCGUACUAAUAAUCAGCAUGGUAUUUUGUCAUUUGUUCAUCUAUGAAUGUAAUCAGCACUUGAAGAUCAUUACUCGUGUAAGAGAAAUGUUCUUCACAAUUGUAUAACCAUGCAGAUAACCGAUGCAGGGUUAAAGAAAAACAAGACUCAGAUUUUGUCAAAUAUCAUUGAAAACUAAAUUAUUUUUGUUAAUCAGAUAUUUCAAGUAAUAUCAUAUGAGAGUAGUUUCCAAGUUUUCCUCUCAAACCUUGUAUUUACCAUCAUUUGCUAUUAAACCAGCAGUUCAUCAGGUGUGUUUAGAGCACACCAAAAGACCCCACCAUGAAAUUAAUUUUGUCCAUUGUUUUCAUGCAAAUUGGAAUUGUAUUAAUACAUGAUCUGACGUCUCUAAUUCAGAUGUACAGAGGUCUCUAAUGUAAGUGCUUACAUCUGGGAAUUAGAAAAUGACAAGUGCAUCAUAAAACACGUUCAAAUACUUUUCUAAGAGAAUUAAUUUAGAUCAAUUGGACUUUGUCAUGAAAACAAGACUCAGCUGGAUAACAGACAAUGUUUCAAGCAAAUAAACAUCUCUUUCUGACACGCAAUUUGAAAGCAAAUAUAUGCUCCAGAGUCAACGUUCAAAAAAAGGCAUAGGUAACGAUUAUCUACCAUUGUUUCAAAAGCCGAAGGGACACAAUAACCAUAGUAUAAAAUAAGUUCGGACUGUUCCCAUGCUUUUGUAAUAUAUACGCAACCAAGACUUGGACACAUUAAAUUAUUAGUAGAUAUAUAUCAAGAUCUUCCUUGCUCUGCAAGCUCGAAAUAUAAUAAUCUUCCCCUUAUAAGUGUCACUAGUCAUUGUGGCCGAAAGCAGCCACUGAAAAUUGGUUUUCCUUUCUUUGCAAGUAAACAUAAACUUCUCUCAUACGCUUCAUUUUUUUCUCAUUAUAAAUAGCCAAUUCUUUUGCGUUUCAAUUCAUCAACUUAGAUUCCAACGUGCCUUCUCUAAGCUUGUUUUUUCCCUCUCGUUGCCCUCUUACUAGGUAUUCCUAACUGUUAAGCUAAAAAAAAACACCAAGUGCCUCUCUUCACGGAGAAAGAAACGUCAAGCUAGCAAUACAAAGCCACAAUGGCUAAGUUCUCAGCAAUUUUCAGCUGCUUUGAUACCUCUUUUUCCUCACGAGUCUCCAAUGACAACGUUUCAGUUCCGGAAGUAAAAGCGCCCAAAUCAGAGAAGUCAAAGGGAAAAUCAAAAUCAUCAGGAGCUCCCAUUGUAGUUUCUUACUUCCCUGUUAAUUCAUAUCCAUCUCGCUUGUAGUAAUUUUGCCAACAAAAUCAGAUGUAAUUACUUAUAUCUCCAGCCCUGGGAAACUAUAUCAUUCACUCACUUAGGUUGAUGAUGCAUCAUUGUGAAGUGGAAAGGAUAAAGAUGAAAGCAAUUCCUUUAUUAAUGUUCUUUGAUUGCUAGCUUCAUGAUCUGAGAUUUGAUGAACAGGGUUUUGUAAUUCUCAUAAAAUUUUAUUUUUGUAAUUGUGAAAUUGAUCAAAUAAUUUAUUUAAAUUGAUCAUAUUAUUUCUAUCUAGUUACUUGCAGCCCACAACUUAGUUAUAUGGUCAACUAAGUCACAAUAUUCCCCCUAAAAAUAACACAAUGUUGGAGAAUUAAUUCGAGGGCAACAUCAAAAUUUUAGCCCAGGUCGAUGGUUUGGAUUUCAUCCCAAAGAUAAAACAAUGAUCACUUUAUUCCAUGCAUCAGAUUUUGAGGACUAAAACGUGGAGAAUAUAUACGAAGAGUAAAAACUUAUCUUUUUAAGGGUUUCGAAAUUUCGGAUGUCUAUUUGUAGAUAAAAAAUCUUGAGGUACAUUCCCAUCCAUGUGCAAGUUGUAAGAAAAUAUCUCAUACUAAAACAAUAAAAGAAAAACAACCAAGUAGUUUAUAUGCAAGAACGAAACCAACACCUAAUAAUUUAGAUUUUUUGGUAAAGAUGAUGUCUAUUCAUUAAUCUAAGCCCUCGACUGUCCAUGGCCUCAAAAUCUUCAUUUUAGAGCCGAUAAGGUGAAGAAUUAAGAUACUUGAUUUUUCACUCUUGACAUAAAUCUUAAAUUAUUUUUUUAUUAAACUUCUGGAAAUUAUCAAUAACUAUUGCUCAUGAUAAUUCAGAUAAAAAAAUAAUGUCUUUUUUCAAGAAAUAUUCAGACAACCUUCUAAUUUGUUUAUGUCUUAGGUAAAUAUAGGCGUAAGAAGUUGCUUCAACCAUCUUUAUAAAAUAACUAUGGUAACAAAAUCCUUUUGUCUACGUGGAUCUUUAGCACUGGCUUAAAUAUGCAAAAAUAUCAUCCCUGUUUUGUUUCAACAUCUAUUCAUAUAAAAAUAUUACUAUAUGGCAUCCAUAUAUUUAUAAUUUUUUUUUAAUCGACAAACAUAAGUCCUUUACUUAUAGAACAUAUAUGCUCUAGAAAAAAAAAAAAAAUUUGCCCCCUUACACUCCUGUUAGGCUAUGGUUAUUUGGGAUUAUUAUAUAGAAUAAGAUCAUGUUUGCAGCUGCAGAUGAAUCGUUUUUUCAAUAAAUUUUGAAUUAUUUUUACUUUAAAUUAAAUUUUUUUAAUAUUUUUAAAUCGCUUUAAAAUGUUGAUAUUUUUCAUAAUCUAUUUUUGGGUUAUUCUCCAAUGUACAUUUUUUCUCUCUUCAAAAAAAUACAAAAAAAUCAAAAACUAUUAUAAAAAAAUAUAACAGUGAAAAGAAGAUGCCAGAACGCCCUAAAAAUGGUCACAAAUUGGUUGAGAAGGUUCAAAAAUUCAAAAAAUAAAAUUUGACAGUAUUUUGUUGACUUAUGAGAGCCCUGUUGACAAAAAAAAUUCAAUUUGAGGAAGAAAAGUCCAAAACCAUAUGUUUAUGGACUCAAUUAAAUUUUAUCGAAGGUUUAAUUGAAUUUAUGGAGGGUUUGAUUGCAAGAGAAAUUGAUUUUGAAAUCAAUUUAGGCUUUAACUGGAAGAAAUUAAAGUUCUGGGGUCAAAUUAUAAUUUUUGAGAGUUAAUUUGGUCAAAUCAGGGACUACAUUGCAUAAAUAUUGAAGUUUGAUGGCCAAUUAGGGACUUAAUUGAAGAAAUUCGAAACCAAAGACCAAAAUGAAAAACGAGCGUAAAUAGAGGGGCUGUAAUUAAACUUUUUGUCUUUCACUCUGCACACGGAAUUCAGGGACCAAAUUGAAGAAAUUAGGAGUUUAUCACUCAAUUCAGUGUCAAAUUGUAUAAAUUCAAGACCAAGGAUCUAAGUGAAAAAGGCGGCCAACUUCAGAGUCGCUGUUUGAUAUUUGGUAGGGAUGCAAUUGCAUUGAUUUUUAAAUCAAAAUUGCAAUUUAGGACUUGAUUGGAGAAAUCACAAAUUGAGGACUGAUUUGUACUUUGACAUAAGUUUGGCGCCGUUUUCAUUUAAAUGAAAUGGCGCGUUUUUGCUAAAAUGGUGUCGUUUCAUACACUGUUAAAAAAAAGAGCUCAAAACGGUGCCGUUUUGAACGGCACUAUAGCCUUUCUUCUUCCCCUGGACGCGCAGAAAACAGGGGAAGAAGAAAGUUUUGUUCCCCUGUUUUCACCGUCUUUUCUUCCUCCUUUUAGUUCAAAAAGACGCCGACCAAAGACCUUAUUUUGCUCAGCUGACCCGUGGCCUCCCACGUGUUGGAGAAACGGAGGAGACGUGCCUCCUCGGGCAAUCGUGGGGCGGCAACACAGUGGCCGCCCCAGCCAUGUCUCUCCCUUGUUUUCCUAUAAAUACAGGGGAGACGAGGCAGAGCAGAAAAGGAGGAAUAGAGAGAAAAAAAACGAAGAGGAAAAAAAAUGGGAGAGCAAAGAGAGAGAAACGAAGAGAAAAGAGGGGGAGAGAAGGAAAGAAAAAAAACAGAGAGAGGAAGAGAGAAGGAAAACAAAAACGAGAAGAAAAAACAGAGAAAAAGAAAGAUUAAAAAAACAGAGGAGGAGCUGCCACCAACACCACUACCGUCUGGAACCACCACCACCGCUGGCCAUCACUGACAACCGAGGCUUCUCCAGGUAAACCCUCCACCCCUCUUGCUUUCGUUUCUUCCCUUGCCAUGCAGGACGUGCACGGUACACGUCUUUGCAGGUGAGAUAAAGCUGGUUAUUGUGCUCAUACACAGUAACCAGCUGAUGUGGGCUGGGCUCAUGGAUCUUGGGCCGAGUCCAGUCCAGCCCAACAAUAGUGGGCCGGGUCCAGCCCAGCAAAAAAUAUAUAUAUUUUUAACAUUUUGUGAUUUUCCAACGUUUUGUUUUACGCUAUUUUGUUUAAAUAUCGGUCUGUAUUUUAUGUCGUAAAAAAUACAAAUCCGUUAUUAAAAUACCCGAUUUUUGUCAACUUAAAAUGUUUUUUGAUAAAAUGUUUUUGUGCAUAUGGCUAAGUGUCUCAAAGCUAAAAAAAUCAUAUUGUGUUUUUCAUACACCAAAAAAAUAAUGUUUUAGCAUGCAUUUUGGCUUUAAUAACCAGUUUAUUAAAGUCAAGAGAACAUUGGCCAAAAUAUCAAAAACAAAAAAAAAUUAUUUUGUGUUGUUUUAGUAUCAGGGAUUACGAAUUUAUACGUAAAACGUAUUUCCGAUAUUAAAACGGUAUUUUCUUUUGACAACAUAGAACAGUUAGGUUUUUACCCGAUAAGAUAAGGAUCUCGGACUUUUCUUAAACCGUAGACAGACCAACAAUUAGAAACCACAACAAGACUUUAGAUUUUAUCAGACAACAAAACAAUGCAGUUUACCUUAGGUAGGACGUAGUUGGGGUGCUAAUACCUUCCCUUUACGCAACCAGUCUCCGUACCCGAUCUCUGAGACCAGUUAGGGUUUCUAGUGACCAGAAUACUAGGUGGCGACUCCCAUUCAAAUUUUCUACUGAUAAGAGACAAGAAUUCCUUGUCUCUUCACAUUUUCCAGAUAGACCUAUACAUUUUCCUUGAGAGGGUGGACGAUCGCCACGACGCCGCACACGUGCGACAAUCAUCUUGGGAUAUUUGAAAAACGAUUAACCGGUGAUCUUUAGAAACAUGAUCGACUUGGGAUCUUUAGAAAAUUAUUGACUAGGAAUCUUUUUUGGUAAAUGAUAAACUUGGGAUCUUUUGAAAUAUGAUCGUUUGAGGAUGUUUUGGAAUAUGAUCUUUUUGGGAUAUUUGAUAAACAAUUUUUGAGGAUGUUUUGGAAUAUGAUCUUUUUGGGAUAUUUGAUAAACAAUUUAAAAACUUAGACUAUGGCCAAAGAAGGUGAUCAAACUUGGCUCAGGAUUUGUGAACUUCCUCUUGUCACCUCAAACCCUUAUCUUUGAUUGCAGAUAUGAUUAUGAUAGUAGGCUCAUUUUCUACUCAAACUCUAUUUUGAAUAAGCAAUGUGGUUAUGAACCUUUUAGAUCUUUUCUUUGUUGUUUCUUUAUAACUCUAUGUUGAAGCUUCAUUUGCUUCUUGGAUUACCCUUAACAUUCAUUUCCACCUUUUUCUUUUUACUAUCGUCUUUCAUCAUAACUCCCUUUGCUAUUUUUCUAGCAAUCUCAUAGAUGAUCCAAAUACACUUCAAACUCAAAUAAACUCAUUUUCUAUUUUUUUUUCUUUAAUGUUGUUCUUGUUCAUUAGUUUUAUUUAAUUAAUAUUAGAGUUGGUUAUGCAGUUAACAAAAAUAAAAGACUAUUUUUAAGGAAAUAUGACUAAUUAAGAAUCAAGGAAAAAGAUUAAUUAAGAGAAACAAGGAAUAAAACAAAAUAAUCAUUUUGAAAAUUCUUUGGCCAAAAUUUUAAGUUCUUUAUUGCAUUAAAUUCAAGCAUAAUAUUUACUUACAACAUGUGAAUUUACAAGCUUACAACUCCAUUCCUUCAACAUUUGACAAAAUAAGAGCUCCUAUUAAAAAUGUCUUCUUGACUAUAUAAAUGCCUUCAUAACUUAGCGUGUAUUUUCUUUGAUCUUCACCAGGAAUUUGAAAAACCUUAUUCAAAAUCAAAUCUCCUUCCUGAAAAACUCUUGGAAGCACUUUUUUUAUUGUAAGCCUAACAAUCCUUUUUUGAUACAACUUUCCAAUGCAAAUCAAAGUCAAUCUCUUUUUAUUGAUCAAAUUCAACUACUUAUAUCAUAUUCUAACACAUUCUAACUUUUCUAAUUCAAUUUCUUUCAACAACCUUAAAUAAGGUAUCUCCACUUUGAGAGGUAAAACCGCUUUCAUUCUAUAUACCGAUCGAGUAAAUAGUUACUCAUGUCGAUGUUUUUAUAGCAAUUUGUUAUCCAUGAAAUCCAUAUGAAAGCAUUUCAUGCUAGUCUUUAUACGUGAUCAUUAUUUUCUGUAUAAUCUUCUUUAUAUUGUUGUUCGCCGCUUCUACUCUACCAUUCAUCUUAAGCCGAUAAGGCGAAGAAUUAAGAUGCUUGAUUUUCCACUUCUAGCAUAAUUCUUGAAUCAUCUUUCCAUUAAAAUUAUGGGCAUUAUAAAAAACUAUUACUCGCAUCGUAUUCUGGCACGUUCUGACUCUUCUAAUUGAGCUUCUUUCAACACUCUUUAAAGAGGGUAUCUCUACUUUGAGAGGUAAAACCGUUUUCAUUCCAUAUACCAAGGAGUAAGGAGUUAUUCUUGUUGAUGUUUUUAUAGAAGUUUGAUAUCAUGUAAUGUAUUUUUUAAUUUAUACCAUGGAAUAAGGAGUUAUCCUCUGAUCAUUGAUUAACAUUUCUAUGUAACUCGUAAUUAACUACAUGAAGAUUGUUCAUUACAGGUACCUGUAUAUAUUGCAGAAAUAACACCUAAAAAUAUUAGAGGUCGAUUUGUAGUGACUCUUCAGGUAAACGUGUUUGGUAUUGUGAUGCACGAUGUUUUUUAAAAAUGUUUUUCAAUUAAGAUCAUGUUAAAAAAAAUGUUUUUUCAUAUUUGUUUUUAUUCUUGAUGUUAGAACCAUCCAGAAAACCUAAAAAAAACAUCAAUUAUUUUUCGAGCGAAAAAUAAUUUGAGGCCAUCAAUGUCUUCUUUCAUUUCCUUCUUUUUCAAUGACUUUACUCUUCAUGUUUGCAGUUGAUGAACUGUUCUGGCCUCUUGGUAGUUUUUUUCCUUGGAAACUUUUUUUCAUGGCGCACCGUGUCUCUAUUAGGUAAUGUUUCACAAUUUGAUUUAAUUAAUUAUUUCAUCAUCGAAGGAGUUUUAUUUCUAAAAUGAUUAAGCAUUUUAUCAUUGUUAAUUUACUUGUGCCUAAAUCUUGUUGAAUCCCAGCUAUAAUUCCAUGUUUAAUGCAAGUUGUCGGUUUAGUCUUCAUACCAGAGUCUCCAAGAUGGCUAGUGAGUUCCUUUUGUGAUCACACACACAUAUUUUCCCAUUUUGAGACAGUAAAGGUAAUCUAAGUGUUUGCUGCUAUAGGCAUCAAUUGGCAAGGAAAUAGAGUUUGAAGAUGCUUUGCGACGGCUUAGAGGAGUGGAUGCCGGUUUUUCUCAAGAAGCUAUUGAAAUCAAAGUAAUAUUUCUUGUCUUAAAAAUCUAGAUUGUAUUAAAGUAUCUUUUGUUAUUGUUUUUUUUUUGGUUUGAUCGGCUUUUAGCCUCAUGUUUUCUUCCUACCUCUGUUUUUCUCCUUCACUUUCUUAUUACUCUUCAAGGAACUAUAUAAACUCUUCAUAUGAUUCAUCUAAACAUAAAGUGAUUUUCUGGAAAUAUUAUCCUUCAUGAUUUUGAGGCUUGUUUUAGUAAUUUGAGUGGGUUAACAAUUGUUGUUAGCCAUUGUUAAGGGGAAGAUAAUGAUGUACAAUUGAGGGAUGAAAUUGAAAAAAUUAUUUUGUUUUAGGCAACAACUAUAGCGUCGAUAUUCCCAUACAGCAUACAAAAUUAAUCAAUUUAAAUGACAAGGAUCAUUUUAAAUGUUAAAUGUCACAUGAUUGGUUAGUAAGAAAUAUUAGUAUCCCAACAUUACUCUUUUCAUAUUUCUCAAGGAGCUGACAUGUGAUUCCAAUAUCUGUUGUAGGAUGCUACAGAGAAUUUCCAACGCAGUGAAGCUGGAUUUCAAGGCUUGUUUCAAAAGAAAUAUGCUUAUCCAGUUAUGGUAAGUUUAAGAUAAGCUUGUCCUUUGUUCUUCUUCUUCUUUUCAAUUGAGACCUGUUGGGAUAAUGGGAUUAGAGAGAUAGCAUGAGUUGAGUUUUUCUAUUUGGGAGUGCAGGAUGUUCUUUUUUUGGCGCGUUUCACUUGAAAAAACAUUAAGUUGAAGUAUUUUUUAGUGCUUUUCGAUAGUUUUGAUGUGACGAUAUAAAAAAUAAAAAAAAAUAUGAAAAAAAUUUAUUUUGAUGAAUUUUAUAGUGAAAAACACUUUUAAAAAACACCAUGUAAAGGUGUUUAGGAGUAUGAUAGAGAAUGCUUUUCUUUUCGCUUGGAAAUGCAUCAAAAUAAUGUUUUUUUUUAAAUCUAUUUUUAACAUCAGAACAUCAAAACGAUCCAAAAACAUUAAUUUUUUUUUUUAAAAUUUUGACGAAAAGCAGGUUCAACCUCAAUUCUAAACAAGCAUUGCAUCACAAUACCAGACACUCUUACUUUCCUCAUAAAAUAGGAGGAAUAGAUGUUAAACCAACCAUUUCCUAUUUAGAAUUUUCUAAUAUAGCUAGUUAAUCAUUAUAUUGUAACAAUAUAAACGGCAUUCUUGAGAUAAGAAAUUAAAACAGUCUCGAUAUUAAGCUGUGUAUUUGCAGCUUUAUUUUCUGCUCUCAAUACAAGUUGAGUUACAAAUUAAUUCAUUAAUCGAUCUGUCCUCAUUCUUUCAAUCAAAUAUCAUCUCAUUUCAUUAUGCUGACUGAUAAACACAAUUUCAACUAACUUAGAUUGGAGUAGGGUUAAUGUUACUUCAACAAUUGGGAGGGAACAGUGUGUUUGCAGCUUAUCUUAGCACAGUGUUUGCUAAAGCUAGUAAGUCUCUCUCUUAAAAUAUAUGAACAUCUGAUCAUUGAUUAUUAACUUACAAGGAACUAAUGCAAAGAGAAAUCCCAGAAUAAUAGUUUUUAUUUAAUCCGGAAUGGAAGAGGAAACCUAGCCAAACUAUACGAUUCCAAUCCUUUUGACACAAGGAAAGGAAACAUGGACGAAAGGGAAGUCUUUCAUGGCCGUUACGGUUAUAAUAAGGAAGCAGAUUUUAUCAUGCUUCUUUCAACUGGGCUAGUGAUGAGCCUCUCUCACUAAUACUAUUAUUUUAUAAAAUAAAUAUUAUUUUACCAAAUAUUUAUAACUUUAAUAUAAUUAUUUUUUGGGUCAACAAUAUAAUUUUUUAUGAUAAUUUUAAUUUGAAUAAAAUAAAAUUAAUACUCUACAAUUAGAAUUUUUUUAUAGUUUUCUUAUACAAGUCUUCUAAUGUUUUUUAAAUAUAAAUAAGACACCAACAAUUGCAAUGAUCUAUCUCCAUCAUGAUAAAAUUUCAAAGAUUACCCAGAUUUGUCAACCAAGGCUAUAGACUCGUUGAAUACAUCAGUGUAACGCACGUGCGGCCCAAAACAUCUAAAGAUAUCACAGACCUGUUAUUGCCCCAAACUUCCUUGGCCAAGAAGGACAUAAUCCCUCUAAGACGAUGAAUAGUCCAAAACUUGAUGAAAAAAAUUGUUGGUUUAGACAUUGGGGCAAUGGCAACCCGCGAGACAGUGUCGGCAGAAUCGGCAGCAGUGACAAAUCGGUAGCAGUGUCGAAUUCGGCAGCGUUGGCUUAUUGGCACCACCAAGAGUGGAGUCUGGAGUCUGCAGUCAAGUCUAGACAUAAUAAGGAUUUUGCAAACUCGACCGAUGCUCUUCUUGCUUGACAAUCUUUCUUGUUCGAGAAUCAACUCUCAUAUUUCAAAGAUCAUGUCUAUUUAAAGUAUAAUUAUUGAAAUGAAAUCAGAGAGAUGUCAGUUUUUUUUUUAAAAUUCAAGCUUCUUUGGUCAAAGGCCCAACACACGUCAUUCAAUACAUGUAGUCCUUUGAUUAUCUUGUAUUUUGAAAACAGAAAUUGACUCAUCAAAAGAUCAAAAUGGCUUUUUCCAUGGUUCUUUGUGUCAAUUUUAAUCUCUGAUCUUGGGUAUAUCUUUUGAUGGUCUGUGAUGAGGUGACCUUCUGUGAAUUUCAAGAAACAAGAUGCUCAAGUCAGAACUCGGGCUUUUAUCAAGAAAGGUUUUUUUUUAGCACUUAUUUUACCAGCAUGCCUAAUAACAAGUAGCUUAAUCCAUGAAGUCACGACCCUUAUGGAAAAACUCUUCAAGCUUUGAGAGCGUCAUUUAUUGGUUCAAAUUGCUUACUUGAUUGAAAAGGGCUUUUAAAAGUACGUAAUGAAGGCUAUGGUUUAUGGCUAUGAAAGAAAGGAAUUUUACAGGCUCAAAAGGUGUUUGCGGGUUUCAAAAACCUAGGAUCAACAUCAAUUAUUCAUCAUUUCUCUUUCUCUUGUUGUCUUUGUAGAGAAAACGACAUAUAACCUUAUUAACCUCAAAUAUCAGAAUUCUCUUAACAUAUAUCAGAAUGCAAAUCCAACUUUUUCUUUGAUGAAUAACCAAUCUCAAUCAUCUGAUAACACCAGGGGUUUUAUUAUGGAUACCAGAAGUCAUGUUUGUAGCCCAGACUUUUUUUUUUUUUUCGACUUUCGACAUUUGUUGUGAAACUCCUUUUGUCUUUCCUAAACUUAAUAGGCAUUCUCCUUCAUUUAUCUUUGACCUGCCUUUAAGUGUAGGCAAUUUUCUUCUUCUUUUUUUUUUUAAUGGCAUUCACAUAGCCUUUCUCACAGUUUUUUUUUUUUUUACAUGCCCCCAGUCUAGGUCUUCUUUCUUUUAGCUCUCUCUCAAAUGUUGGACUUUUGUUCUAAGCCUUCCCUUUCACUUUUGUCUUCUCUUAUUUGCCGCCAGUGUGGGGUGUGAUCCUCGUCAGGGUUUCUUUUGAAAAGAAUAUUCUAUCAGGCUCAAAAUGGGAUUGCAAAUGAUAUAUUUCAAGUAUUGUGAAAGGAUAAAACAAAGAUGGCCUUUUCUCGUUUCAAGCAAGGUUGGUGUGAACCGAUAAAUUUUGUCCUCGUCCAAUGUAAUGAUUUCGACUUGCAAGAACCUUGAUUCGUGAGUCCAUAACUACUGAAUCCAUUACAUGUCAUUAUGCAUACUGCUAAAACUUAGCUACAUGGUGGGUGAUUCAGUUUCAUGUGUGAGCUCAAAAUUUUUUUGGUCACCCCAAUCCUCGAGUCAUUUCUGAAAUCAAAAUACUUUUAAUCUUUCAAGAUUGAUUAGCCUUAAUUGCAUGUUGGAGUUUGAUCAAAAUAUUUUGUCAAAAAUGAAAUGCUAAACAUCUCCUGACUUCAGAAUAACAAAGAGACAAAUAAAAGACAUGUUUCGUUAAAGAAUGAGAUGUGAUCCCAAAACAAAAUGCAAAAUGACAAAAUUCCAUAACAAUAUAAUUGACAAUUCAUCGCCAUUCUUGGACCAGCUUUCUUAGCAAGCAUUUUCAAUCACUUGUCAUUCUGAAGAUGUUCGUGGGACAAUAUAGCCAAUGACAUCACCUUUCACAAACUCAACUUGCCUCUUGCUCAUCCACCUCCAGAGUCAUCUCUCAUCAUUGUUCUGGAAUCCAUGACAGAACCUUCAAUUUUUCCCCUCUUUAUAGCUUGUUCAAUUCUUUCAGCAAUCCUCACAACUUCAUGGAAAUGUUGAGCCGAUCUUCCUAUUAAAUGCGCAUAAUAAGGGGAUUGAAAUGUGUUGGCAAACAACAUCACCAUUUCUGUAUCUAUCAGUGGAGGUUGAACAUAUGUUGCCUUAUCUCGCCAUCUUUGAGCAUAUGCCCUCACAGACUCUUGGUUUUCCUUCUCCAUAGACAUUAGGAUGGUUCUGUCAGGAGCAAUUUCAAGAUUGAACUUGUACUGCUUAAGAAAAGCCUCCACCAAAUCUUUCCAUUUCUUAACUUUAGCAUUGUCCAACCUCAUAUACCAGCUUAGGGCAGAUCCCGUUAGACUAUCUUGGAAAAAAUAGAUCAACAGCUUAUCAUCAUAAAUCACCUCAGCCAUUUUAUUGCAGUAAGAUCGAAGGUGAGUGUUUGGACAUUCCAAUCCAGUGUAUCUGAUGAACUCUGGUAUCCUAAAGUUCUUUAGUACCAAACACACUUCAGCUGCUCGCAUGGGAUCAAACCAAUCAUUACCCUCAACUGCUCUUAAUCUUUCUUCCAAAGCAGACAACUUGUCGUAGUUCACAAAAUCAGUGGAUCUAUUGCCAGGGGGUCCAUCUAUUGUUAAAUCCACGGUGAUGGGAGCUUGACUUGAUGGGAUAGGGGCGAUAGGCAUAAAAUGUUGUUCUGCUCUUGAAUCUGCCCCCAAGUUUUGAGAUGUCCCUGGGACGUGGAUUGAUGGUGUUUUCACAGGAGGUUGUGCAAAAAUCCCCUUUUCAUUUUUGGAGCUCAGCACUUGUUCAAGCAGAUCUGUAAGUCUAGCAACUUCACCUUUGAUGCUCUCAAUUUCAUUUUGAUAAUGGGCCUCCAAUUGAGCUCUUUCUUCAUUAUCCAUCUUUCAGGUGUAGGAAAUCUUGGAUGGGGGACCUAUGUUUCAACCUGGCAACUUGUAUAAUAAAUGUAUGAGUAUGUUCCUAUAUGAUGAGUUUGCCCUUCUAGGGUUGACACAUAGUCGUAACCCUUGCAUUUUGAUUUUUGCUCCACAACGGAAAUUUCCUGAGUAACGACCAUUGUGUCAACCACAAGUCUUGAGUUCAAGAAGCUUCAGGAAAUGUUUACUUUGAUGUAAAACAAAAGGUAAAACACACAACCUAAGGACAUGUUCUAUUCAUUAAGUGAGACCAAUGGUAGGUUGAUUAUCUAGUCUCAAAAGGGUCUCAUAUCUGCCCAGUGACGAUCUUCGUAAAGACAAUGUGGGGGCGUUGCAAGGAACAGUUAAGGCACGUAUGCCCACCAUUACCAAGCAGGCACUCAGAUAUGAGUUGGGUGUUUCACGCAUCUGAACCCUGACCAAUAGUCAUAGGGCAGAUCGCUAAUUCCCCACCUAACUUUAAAGCUUGUGUGUGCUUUCCAAAAAUUUAAAACAUGUGAUGCAUGAGGCAUUUCUAUACAAUACAUGAUUAUAUAUGUACAGAAAUUAAAGUGUGAAUAAAUAAAUAAAUAAAAUAAGCUUAUUAACAGAAAACACGCAAACCAAACAAAACACAAUUAUCAGACAAAAACAAAGUUUAGUCCACAAGGUCCCCAGUGGAGUCGCCAUUCUGUCGCACGUGUGCGGCGUCGCGGCGAAAACAUCCACCCUCGAAUUUUUAUAUAAUGUGUCAAUGUGGCGAGACAAGGAAUUCUUGUCUUUUAUUAGUGGAAAAAUGGAAUGGGAGUCGCCACCUAGUAUUUUGGUCACUAGGAACCCUAACUAGUCUCAGAGAUCGGGUACGGGGACUAGUUGCGUAAAGGGAAGGUAUUAGCACCCCAAAUACGCCCUACCUAAGGUAAGCUGCAUUGUUUUAUUGUCUGAUAAAAUUUAAAGUUUUGUUGUGUUUUUUAGUUGUUGGUCCGUCUAUGGUUUAAGAAAAAGUUCUCUUCGAUAAAGAAAUCUUUAUCUUAUUGGGUAAAACCUAACUGUUCUAACGUCAACAAAUAAUUUGAUAUCCGGAAUACGUCUUACGUAUAAGGUCGUAAUCCUAGAUAUUAAAAGAAAACAAAAUAAUGUUUUUUUGAAUUUUUGAAAUAUUGGUAAGUUCUCGUGACUUUAAUAAACUGGUUAUUAAAGCCAAAAUGCAUGCUAAACUUUUUUUUUUAUAUGAAGAUACAAUAUGAUUUUUUAUUUAUAUAUUUUUUAGAGAGACUUGGCCGUAUGCAUGAAAACAAAACAUUUUAUUUUAUUUAUUUAUUUUUUUUGAAAACCAGGUAUUUAAUACCGAAUUUGUAUCUUUACAGUAUAAAAAUACAAACCAAUAUUGAUCAAAAUGCAGUGAAAUAUUUGCGGAAAAUCACAGAUUUUUGAAAAGAAUUUUUUUGAAUUUUUUUGAAUUUUUCUGGCUGGGCCCAACCCGGCCCAUGUGGCUGGGCUGGACCCAGCCCACCUGUGUGGCUGGGCUGGACUCAGCCAGCCCAGCCUGGUCACUGGCCCAAAGCCAGUGACCCAAUUAUGCCAUGCACGUGUAAAACUUUACCCGUGUAUGAACAGUGCGAAGGUAAUUAAAUUACCUUCGCACUGUUCAUCUCCUUCUUGCCAAUUAACCCAAAACGCAGGCAACACUUUGUAUCACAGAGACUGUGGAAGGAAGUAAAACAUACCAGGUGCUGGAGAGAUGAAGAAGAUGGUGGUGCUGAUCUCUUCUGCUAUCUGCGUUCGCUGUUUCGGGUUGCUAUGCGUUCCUCUGUUUUUUGUUCAACUCACGUCUCUCUCUCUUUCCCUUUUUCUUUCUUUGCCCGUCUGCUCUCCUCUAUCCUCCUCCUUCUGCUCUCUUCUCUUGCUGCCUUUUUUACUUUCUUAUGCUCUUCCUUCCUCUGUUUCUCUCUUCCUUACAUUCCCCUCUCCCUCUGUUUUUUUUUUUUUUUCAUCGGGUCCUUCUCCCCCUCCUUCUCCUUUUUUUCCCUCCCUUGUUGCAGCUCUUCCUCUGGCUUUUAUAGCCAGAGGACGCCAGCAAUUUUGGUAAGCCGGCGUUCAUCACGGUGACGAGGGAUGUCAGCCGCGAUACCCGCCCCAUUGAUUCGAGAAUAAUUCCAUAAUCGUUGCUAACGUCUCCUUCCAUUAUUGUCACCGAUUCACAGCUGUUUGAAGACCAUUAAUGGUGGAAACGGCGCCGUUUGGGUUCUUCUAAUUUGGCUCUUGAAGUUUUCGCUGUUUUAUAAUCAAACCCCCCGACAAAAUUGUAAUUGGGUCCCUUAAUGUUAGCGCCUUUUCUGGUUUGAUCCUUGGUCUCGAAUUGUUUCAAUUAAGUCCCUAAUUGUCCAUCAAACUUCAAUAAUUAUGCAAUUAAGCCCCUGAUUUGACCAAAUCAACUCUUUAAAAUUACAAUUGGACCCCAGAACUUUAAUUUCUUCCGAUAAAAGCCUAAAUUGACUUACAAAAAUCAAUUUUCUUGCAAUCAAACCCUCUAUAAAUUCAAUUAAACCUUGGAUAAAAUUUAAUUGAGUCCAUAAACAUCUGAUUUUGGACUUUUCUUCCUAAAAUUAAAUUUUUCUCAUCAACAGGGCUCUCACUGUCAAAUUUCAACCUUUUGUAUUUUUGAAUCUCCUCAACCAAUUUUGGCAUUUUUUCGGCAUUCCAGCAAUCCUUUUUCUCGCUCCUAUUAUUGUUUGGAUUUCUUUUGAUAUAUUUUUUUGUAUUUUUUUAUUUUUAUGUGAACCCAAAAAUGGGUAACAACAGAUAAGGUAAAGAAUUAAGAUACUUGAUUUUUUGCUUUUGACAUAAAUCUUGAAUUAUUUUUCCAUUAAAAUCCUAAGCAUUAUCGAUAACUAUUGCUCAUGGUAAUAAAUAUAAGAAAAUAAUGUAUUUUUCAAAAAAUGUUUGGACAACCUUCUAAGUAAUAGGAGUAGGAAGUUUCUUCAUUCAUCUUUAUAAAGUGACAACGAUGGUAACAAAAUCCUUUUUUCUACCGGAUCUUUAGCAUUGGCUCAAAUAUGCAAAAAUAUCAUCCCUGUUUUGUUUCAACAUCAAUUCAUAUAAAAAUAUUACUAUAUGAUAUCAAUGUAUUUAAGGGUUUUUUUUAAAACGACAACUAUAAAUCCAUUACUAUAGAGCAUAUAUGCUCUAAAAAAAGAUGGCUAUUUGGGAUUAUUAUAUAGAAUAAGGUAAUGUUUAAAGCUGUGGUUAAACUGAAUUUUUAAUAAAUUUUGAAUUUAAUUUUUUGCUUCCAAUUAAAAAAAAAUAGUGUUUUUGAAUCACUUUAAAAUACUAAUAUAAAAAAAUUAAAUAAAAAAAUAUUAUUUUAAUAUAUUUUAAAAUAAUAAACACUUAAAAAAAAACUCAUAUCAUAAUACUUCUAGAUAAACUUUAAAAGUUUACGCGCAAGCUGGCCCGGAUAUCCACGUUAAACUAAAAAAAAUAUAGUUGAUAAUAUAUGAAUUCCACAUGCUUUUAUCUAUUUCUUAUUAUAUUUAUUGAUAUAGUCUAGGAGUACAAUGAUAGGCUUGUCAGCGUAAUCAUUCCGUGGCUAAUUUAUUUUUUAGUUAAAUAAAGCUCUCUCACGUUGAACCUGAAACCGUGUAUCCUGCCUGUGUUUGCUACACGCCGGUCCAACGAGCUAGGACAGGCUUAAUUUUCAAAUUGAAAGUGACAAUUGAAAGACUUUCAUGUCUUAAUUCAUGACUAGAUGCAGAUUGCAAAAUGUAAACAAAAAUUGUCAUGAACUUUCUAAGCAUGUGCUGCUGGUGUUCAAAGCAGGCACGAAAAAGAAACGCGGGGUCAACUGUGGCUAUUAGUCAAAGCAGCCACAAACCAAGAAUCUUGUGUUUCCUUGCACAACAAGACUGUCAAAGCAACUUCCAAAUAUUUUCUCACUAUAAAUAGACUGGAUUCCCUUGAAGAUCAUCAAGAAACUCCAACUUAACUUUGUUCAGCUAAAGAAAGAUAACUAGUUGGCCUACACCAAUACUUUGAUCGAAAAUUGUUUUAGAUAACAAGAGAAAGCAAGAAAUGGGUCGUUUCUCUGCCAUUUUUAGUUUCUUUGUUUCAUCAUCUUCUUCAAGGGUUGCAGAUGAAGCCCGUAAUAAGACAGAGAAAACCAAAAGCAAAUCAAAAUCAUCAGGUGCCCCAAUCGUAGUUUCUUACUUCCCCGUGAACUCAUCUCUCUCUCGCUUGUAGGAAAUUCCAUUCCAGGGAGAUGAAGAAGGGCCAUGUGGUACUUUCUAUGCCGAUAAUCGUGGACCAUCUUCGGCCUUUUUCACAAAAACCAACUGUAUGACAGUGUGGCAAUGCUGCUACGUUAGGCUUUGAAGUGAUUGUAGCAAUUAUGAGUAGCGGAAAUUCUAUCUCAAGACUAUUUCAUGCGUGAUGUUUAUGCAACUCAUCAUAUGGCUGUAGCCGGUACUGUUCUGAAUUAUUUUUUAUUUUAUGGGUAAAAUUUCUUAAAUUUUGCUUAUAUAUACUUUAAUCAGUGGAAUUCGAAGAUAGACGAACAAUGUUCGCAAUCAUUGAUAUAUAGUAUUUAUUUAUAUUAAAAUAUCUAUGAUCAAGAGUCAAGAUUAUAAAAAUCAUAGUAAAUAAAUAAUCUAGCAAUAUUGCUUUAAGAGCCACAUGCCCACAACCACCAUACAAUCAACUAAUUUGGGACUGUCGCUUGCUAAUAUAAUAUUCAACUAAGACUUAGCACACAUAUGUAUGAUUAGUAUAUAGUAUUAUAUCAGAUCUUCCUUGCUUUGGAAGCUCAGAAUAUAAAAAUCUCCCAUUUUGUGUGGUCAAAACAGCCACAACAUGUGAAAAUUGAUUUUCCUUUUCUUUCCAGGCAAAGCAUAAGCUUCUCUCGUACACUUCAUUCUUAUCUCCUUGUAAAUAGACAAGUGCCCAAGACGGUCUCCUUGAACUCAUUAUCUAAUCUUCAAUUAGUACCUUCCUCUUACUAUUCCUAAUUGUUACACUAAAAAAGCUAAUAGUACCCCAAAGUAUAUCUACUAGCAGAACUAUGGAAGAUCGUGCAAGAAGAAACUAUUCCAAUUUGUUUACUAGAGAGCUUUCUCAUCCCCGACCUCCCACCGUUGAAACUGAAGAAGAGUGAAGACUAAUUUCUCUCACUUUCAGCACCAUCAAGGGGCGGGGCUAGGAUUCAAAGAUAAAAGGGGGAAAAGUUGUCGAGAACAUGAAGUACAACAUAACAUAGUAAAAUUGAAUUAUUAAAAAUUAUAGAGGCUAUUAUUUUUACCAAAAAAAAUAAAGGGGCAGUAACUCUGCCGUUUACCCCAUGACUUGAUAUGGUUUAGUGAGACAAACAAAUUUACUAAGAAUUAACACACACGAAAUGAAAAAAAAAAAUAAGAAGAAACUAAUAUAGAAUAAAAAAAAUCAAGGAGAAUAAUCAAUAAAAGGAAAGGAAGAGGUGAAUCAAAAUAAUUAGGGAGAAGGGCACUAAACCAUGGGAUUGUUAUCGUUAUUAUUACAUCUUUGCAUCUCAUCUGUUGAGUAGUAAAUCGAUAUUGCACAUUGGUAGGUUUUAAGGAUACUGAUUUUCAAGAAUGGCAUUACCAAUACAUGUUGGGCUCUUAAGUACAAUAAACAUAGUCUUUCUUUUAUAUAUAUAUAUAGCCUAGGGUGAUGAUAAUUAUGGUUGUAAAAUUUGAUUUAAGAUUGAUUUGAAAAUCGACAACACAAAGUAAACUCAAAUCACAUUUAUGAUAAUUAUGAUUGUAAAAUCUGAAUCAGGAUUAAUUUGAGAAUCGACAAAUUUAGAAUUUAACAUGAGUUUAAGUUUUUUAAAGUAUAUACAAGUUUUAAUAUUAUUAUAAAUCUACAAUAUUAAAAUUUAAUAUCUUUUAGAGAGUUUUAGUGUAAUUACGAGAUAGUUAGUUGAUUAUAUUAGGUUUUUUCACAGAUAAAGAUAAAAAUCUUAGUUUAGUAGGAUUUAUAAUGCUAUUUAAAACCACCUUAAACAUUCGGAAUCAUGUAUAAAAAGAUAAUAAGAAAAAGUAGAGAGAAAAAGUUAUUUGUUAUGUUUUUUCUUAGAGUAAAACUUACGUGAGUUUUGUUGAAUAGUUUAACUUUAAUUCUAUAAAAAUCUAGUUUAUUUGAUUGACCUGACUUAAACUGACUCAAAGUUAAUCAGAUCAGAUAUAAAAAAAUCAAAAUAAUAUUAUUUUUAUUCAUCAUUAAAAAAAAUUAAAAAAUAAAAAAAAUUGAUUUGGUUAUGUAGAAAUUAACUCAAUGACGUAAUGACCCAAACUUUUAACUAGAUUAAAUCCAAAAACAAUUAUAGUAAUGAGAUCUUUUUGCUUCCCUAUAUAUAUAACAUUGGCUAACAUGUGCAAAAAUAUCAUCACUGUUUUGUUUUAACAUCUAUUCAUGUACAAAUAUCACAACAAGAGAUAUGUAUAUUUAGGGUUUAGCAAUGUAUGUGCUUUAGGAAUAGAAUUUCAACUAGUUAAUUGCCCACGUUGAUAAGAAACAAAUUAGCUAAAAAACGAUGAUUAGUUUAUGCAAGCGCAAUUUAAAGAAGGUGAAAAAUCAAUGUCAAAUAAUAAAAUCAAAAAAAUAAAAUAAGUCCAAAAAAGAAGCAAUGUCAACACGUGUUAACUUGCAAAACCCGUGACCCGAGUCAUUUGAAUAGAAGCAUCACAUUUGAAAAAACCAUGAAGCCCAAUUUUCAACAAAUCAAAUAUUGAAAGAUAAAAUUAAAAAAAAAUAAUCAUACAAAUGGAUAAAAAGAAAUAGGAGUUUUAUGCCAAAAAAGGCUCAAGGCCACCAAAAUCAACCCACCAAACCCAUAGGUCAGGUCAUGAGAUUGAGAUAACCUGAUUGAAAGGAAAAUGAACAAAAUCACAAUGCUAAUUUUUUAAAAAAGAAAAUAAGUUAAAGAAAAACUAUGUUAGCUUUUGUUAACUUAUAAAGCCCAUAACCCGGACUAUUUGACCAAAAAACCAAAUAUAAAAAAAACCAUAGAGCUCAAUUUUUAACAAAUCAAAUAUUGAAUGAUAAAAAUUAAAAACAAAAAUCAAUCACACAAAAUGAUCCAAAAGAAAAAAAACAAUAGCAAUUAAAAGCUAAAAUAAAAAGGCACUAGCCAACCCAAAUUAACUCAUCAAACCACGAGUCAGGUCAUGAGAUUAGUAUUAUUUAAUAUAAAGGAAAACGAAGAAAAUCAUGAAGUCUAUUUUUUAGAAGAAAAAAAACAAUGUCAAAUGAUAAAAUCGGAAAAGAAAAUAAGUAAAAAAAAAAAACAAUAUCAACCUGUGUUAGCUUCUAAAACCCAUGACCUAUGCCAUUUAAUUAGAAGCACCAAUUGUUUUACAAAACAAAAAAUCCAUGAAACUUAAUUUCCAAUAAAUCAAAAGAAUGAAGAUUCAUACUGAAAUAUAAGCAACUAAUAGGACUACCUUAAUAAUUUAAAUUGCCAUCACGAAUUUCAAGAGAGCUAAGGGAAAAAAAACAAAACUCUAACUGUGAGUGUCGUGACAUGCAUGACGUCGUGUUAAUUAUUUCUACUACAGAACGUGAAUUCAUGUUCUGCAUGCAGGUUUGAGAGCAUAGAGAAGGUUUACGUGGGAAUGAGGAAAAGAGAAGAGGUUACCUAGUAUGGAGAAGGUGCUUGGCAGUCGUUGUUGGGAGGUACGACAUGGGGAUGGUGGAGAUGUUGGUUGAUAAGUUGGGAGGUACGACAUGGGGAUGGUGGAGAUGUUGGUUGAUAAGUUGGCAGUUGGCGGGGUUGUUCUGAAGAGGUUGGUGUUGCUGGAAGAAGGAGAAGUUGAAGUUGAUCGAGGGAGGUUGCUUCUCACAAUGGAGAGAAAGAAAAUGUUGUUCUUUUGGUUGUCAUAGGUGUUCCUAUGGUUGGCCUAGAGAAGAAGAAAGGUGUUGGUCAUUUGAAAAGGCUGAUUUUUUAGCCUACUUUCUCUUGAAAUUUAUUUCCCUCUAAUGCACGAAAUACACCCUACUUAUAGGGGAUGAAAGAAGAACAUCUGGUGUUUAUUAGGGGUAAAUCUUGGCCCUUGAUUCAAAUAGAAAGGAUUUCAACCAUUAGCCAAAAAUCAUCAUCACAAGCUACGAAAUUUGGCUGCAAAAGGCUAAUCAUGCUAGCCCUUUUAGGGCAGUGCCGCGGCGUCUAUAAAGGUGACCAGACGAAAAUAGUUAUGUUGUGGUAUAGUACGGUGUCGGGCCAUCAGAGUGGUGUCCUGUUUGUCUUGUUUGGUGAAGAGAUGAGGCAUUAAAUGCCCUUAAAAAGUGGCCACCCUAGCAGUCUUUCAGGUAUAAAAGAUUAAAAAUGAUGAACAAUAGCCAGACGACAAGUCUUCUAACACCUUUUUUUUUGUUUUUGUUUUGGUCAAAAUGCACCAUUUCAUUUAAAUGAAACGACGCCGAUUUGACAUCCUUAGGGUCUUAAUUGGGGAUUUAACUAAAAUUCAAUUUAGUCAUUUGUCUUUUGAUUUUUUUAAUUGCAUCUCUAAUUGACUUCAAACUUUUAAUUUUAUGCGAUUUUGUCAUUGCAAACUUCAAAUAUCAACCCUGAAGUUCAGUGCCUUUUCACUUUGAUCCUUGAUUUUGAAUUUAUGCAAAAUGAUCCUCAAUUGACCAUUUAACUUUUAAUGUGGCUUAUGAUUAAAUCAAAUUAGCCUAUUAAAAAUCUAAUUAAUUUCUUGGACUUAAUUUUUAUGCAGAUUCGUCGAAUAAUCAUUUAAUUUGACCUUGAAUAUGCAUUAUCUCUUUAAUUUUUGAUACAAUUGGGUAUGAUUAGGCUCUCAAUUUUGUCCAAGACUCCAACUUGAUUCUCUAUACAUUUAAAACCCUCCUCAGCUUGCUAUUGUCAAAUUUUCAGUCUUGUUGUUGUUGUUGUUUAAAAAAAAAGGUAAAUUGAGGAGGGGGGAAUAGGUUAUAACAACGAGAAUCCGUCAAGAACCAACAAACAUGUGAAGUCUAUAGAGAAAAAGGACGCCACCAGGAAUCCAAUGACAGGACUAAAAAACCUUUUUCACCGUCUAAGGACAUCGCCAAAACGACACGACAUCCUUCCACUUGUCGGCACAAGCUUUGCAUGCAUAAACCACUUUUUAAACAAAAUAUUUUUUUAUUGAUGCAAAACGUAAAAUUACCCCUCAAUCAACUUUAUUAUAAUAAUAAAAAAAAACCUUGAUGAAAAUACCAAAAAAAUCUUAAAAGAAACUUAAAUAAAUUUAAUUUAAAGGGUUAUUUUGUAAAUUUAUCCUGAAAAAAUAUGAAAAUUCCAAAAAGCCGCUUUAAAUCAAUUAUUUAAAUUUUACUUUUAAAAGUAGUAUAUGUAUUUUACUGUUCAUAAAAAGGAGGGAAAACACUGGGGUGCCCUCGGACAAAUUGAAAAUGACAAAUGGAAGAUGAAGAAAAGACUAUUUUAUCUAUGAAUGAAGACUUCUUAGCUGAUUUGUUAAAAGAAAAAAUUAUAAAUUCACUAUUACAGCCCACAGUGUUUUUCUCUCUGGUCUCCAAUAAUUUUUCCCAUAAAUUAACUGUUACUGUCCACGGUGUUUUUCUCUCUGGCCCUGCAAUAAUUUUGCCCAUAACUUGGUUGUUUUGUUAAUUUUUUGCCCCCUCCACACCCCUGUUGACUCUGCCCUGACGAAAUUAGGCUAACAUAAAGAAAUUAUUACAUAAACUAAGUUCAUCACAUCACAUGAGGCAUAAACUAAAUUAAUAAACAUGGGACAUACAGGGGAAAAUACAGAGAUUUUUGUUGAUCAUGAUGCAUUUCACAUAAUUUUAUCUACAUGUCUUCUAUUUAUUAGUAUAGCCUAUAAGUGAUAUGGUAAAUUUAGCGUGUGUAAUCAUUUCUCGUCUAUCCUAACCUGGCAUGUUCUCAUUUCAUUUUAUUUUAUAUUUUUUAGAUUAAACUAGUUACAUGCCCCGCGCGAUGCCGCGAGUCAAUUAUUUUUUGCAUUUUAAAAAUAGCCAAGAUCUAAAAGUGUUAGGUUUUUUUGCAAAGUUAUAUCCAAGAAUCUCAGGUUUGGUUGCAACGCCUGACCCAAGAGUAAUGUUUAUAAUAUUAAUAAUAACAUUAAACUUGGGUUAACCCUUAGCAUAAAAGUGUCUGGACUGCAAUACCAGACCCAAUAGCAUUGGACGUGGGUCUGGCUGCAAGGUCGUAUCAUAAAAAUGUGAUAAUUAAAUAGAUUAGUUAAAAAGAAAAAAAACCAACAGGAAGAAAAAAACUAAUGAAAAAAAAGAAAAAAAAAGAUGAAUUAAUUGGGCUAACCCUUCAAACCAGGUUAACCCGUCAUACCUUGAAUUCGCAUCGUGAAAGUCUGAUAAUUAAAAAGAAAAAAACAAAUUAAUGGGUUAACCCAAAAUUAACUGGGCUAACUCGUCAAACCAAGUUAACCUGUCAAACCCGGAAUCCGUGUAAUGAAAGUUUGAUAACUAAAUAGAAAAAAAUUUAACAUCAAUUUAAAUUAAACGAAAAAAAUUAAUUAAAAAAAAAAGGCAUCAGCCUUUUCACUGUGGACUGCACUGUGCAGUUCACAGUCAAAGGCAUAAAAAAAAACUAAAGGCGUCAGCCGAGAACUACUUAGAAAAAAAUUUAAUAUUAAUAAACUAAAUUAAUUAAAUAAAUAAAAUUAAAAAGAAAAAAUAAAAGAAAAAAAACCUCUAAGAAGAAAAAAAAACUAAAUAGAAAGAAAUUUAACAUUAACAAACUAAACUAAACGAAAAAAAUAAUUAAAAAGAAAAAAAAAGCAAAAAAAAUAAAAUUCAGGUUAACUCGUCAAACCAAGUUAACCCGUUAAACCCGGGAUCCGUGUCAUGAAUGUCUGGUAACAAAAUAAAAAAAAGUGAACAUUAACAAACUGAACUAAUAAAAAAAAAUUAAUUAAAAAGAAAAAAAAUCCGGGUUAUCUCGUCAAACCAUGUUAACCUGUUAAACUCAGUAUUUGUGUCAUGAAAGUCUGAUAACUAAAUAAAAAAAAAUUUAACAUUAACAAACUAAAUUAAACAAAAAUAUUUAUAAAAAUAAUAAUAAAAAAAAAUGACGGGUCAACCCGGAAUUAACUGGGUUCACCCGUGAAACCAGGUUAACCGGUGAAACUCGGGAUAUGUGUCAUGAAAGUCUAAUAACUAAAUAGAAAGAAAUUUAACAUUAACAAACUAAACUAAACGAAAAAAAUUAAUUAAAAAAACAAAGAAAGAAGCAAAAAAAAUCCCAAAAAUCAUUAAAAAAACAGCUAAAAAAACUUAGACAACCUAAAAAAAAAAAAAAAAGAGCCUAAGGAAUCAGUGUUUUACUAUGGACUGCACAGUGCAGUCCACAGUAAAACACUGAUUCCUUUUAGCUAUUGUUAUAAUUAAGCUCUCUUACGUUGAAUAUUGAAAACGAGUAUGAAUAUUGCUACAACGGUCUAACUGUCUAGCAGAGGCUUAAUUUUCAAUAGGAAGUGACGAGUUAAAGACUUUCAUGUCUUAAAUUUUUUUCUCGAUGCAGAUUGCAGAAGGUAAACAGAAGUUGUGAUGAACUUUCUAAGUAUGUGCUGGCGUUCAAAGCAAUCACAAAAAAGAGAUAUUACUCGAGACGAGGGGUCACCUGUGUUUUGGCUAUUAGUCAAAGCAGCCACAAACCAAGAAACUUCGUAUUUCCUUGCACAGCACUGUCCAAGCAACUUCCAAAUAUUUGCUCACUAUAAAUUGACAGCAUUCCCUUGAAAAUCAUCAAGAAACUCCCACUUAACAUUUUUCAGCAAAAGAAAGCUAACUAGUUGGCCUACAGUGUCUUCACCAAUACUACUUCAUCGAAAACUGUUUUAGAUAACAAGAGAAAGCAAGAAAUGGGUCAUUUCUCAGCCAUUUUCAGUUGCUUUGUUCCAUCGGCUUCUUCAAGGGUUAUAGAUGAAGCCCAUAAGAAGGCAGAGAUUCCUAAAAGCAAAUCAAAAUCAUCAGGUGCUCCAAUCGUAGUUUCUUACUUCCCCAUGAACUCAUAUCUCUCUCGCUUGUAGCAAAUUCCAUUCCAGGAAGAUGAAGAAAGGCCAUGUGAUUGUUUAUGCAGCUCAGCAUAUGGCGGGAGCCUGUGCGGUUCUGAUUUUUUUUUUUUUUUUUUUAUGGAUAUGUUAUUUUAUUUGUUGCAAUAUCUAGGUAUUGCAAGAAUUGCUUAUCCUGUAAAGAAAACAAAGGAUGAAUACAAAAUCAUAUAUAAUUUUGUCCCGAAGUAAGAGUAAAAUUUAUGGAGUCCACCUCUCAAAUCAUUCACCCAUUAAAUUUAUUUGCAAAAUCUUAAUCCUACAGAUCCUGCACACCCCUAGAAACUUGCAAGCUUACAUCUAG